AAUGGGGGGAGGAUGGGGAGGGGAACACCCAUAAAGAAGGGGAGGGAGAAGGAUUAGGGGGAUGUUCGCCCGGAAACCGGGAAGGGGAAUAGCACUCGAAAUGUAAAUAAGAAAUACUCAAGUUAAUAAAAAAAAAAAAGAAAAAGAAAAAGAAAAAAAGAAAAAAAGAAUUGCUCUGGGCCAUCUCUGUCAGUCCAUGUAGCUGUCCUGGACUAGCACUCCUUGGUUUAAUCUAGUGGAAAGCUUCUUAACCUAACUUGUGACCUGUGUGGGUCACACAACUGAAUUUGAGUAACCAAAGUUGAGAGUCAUGAAAGUUUCCACAUCAGUGAACAAAAUUUAAUUUAAGGUCAAAUUCAUAAAAGAAUCUAAGAGGUUUUUUGUUUGUUUCAGCAGUACUCAAUGCUCACGUUGACUUGCACAAAGUCACUGCAGCCUUGUGUGUGUGCGUGUGUGUGUGUGUGUAAGUGACUGUGACUGUGUAAAUGUGUGUGAAUGUAAGUGUGUUGGUGUAAACGUGUGUAAAUAUGUGUGAGUGCGAGUAAGUGUAUGUGUAAGUGAGUAUGUGUGAGUGUAUGUGUGCACACACACAUUAAUUUGUCCAAUCAUGCAUGUGUGGAGGCCAAGGAUUGACUUUGAUAUUUCCCUUUAAUAUUCUCCACCCUUUGUUUUGAGACAGGAUCUUUUGGUGAAUCUAGACUAGCUAGCAUGUGAGCCCAGUGUGUCUGCUGUUUCAGUUCUGGACCACUUCUGUUACAGGGAUACAAGCUAGGUCUCAUUUUUAUGAGUGCUGGGCUUGUGAACUCAGACCCAUACACUUGCAGAAUAAGCACUUAACUCAAUGAGCAAAGGUUCCAGCUCUCAGCCUUGGCUUGGAACACACAACAUGCACUGCAUGUAUUGUCCUUUGGUGCAGUAUCAUUGAAUAGUGCCUGAAACAUACAUUUUUGACCUGCAACAUUUAACUGUGCAUACAAUUUUUCUUUUUGCUUAUAGAAACCUAAUGCUUUAAUUACAGAAAACAACAGAUUUAAUAUUUUCCCAUAUCAUUCCUCAGCAUUUAAAUACCAAAUUAGUAUAGUUUUGGAUUGCAUUUGUUAGACAAACAAGCACAUCUAUCUUAUUAGUAUGCAAAUUUAAUUUAACCUUUGAUAUAUGGUAACAUUAUACAUACACAGAAAGUUGAUUUAAGAUGAACUUCUUCUGUACUUUGUUGUCGGGCAGUUAUUGAUUUGUGUAACUUUUCUCUACCCGAUUUACAGGUAUAGAGAAUACCACAUUAAACGUGGGUAAGGAGGAAUUGUAGCCCUUGUCUGGUAGAAGAAGUGAAUGUAGCUUAGAUUGAAGGGUUCAGUGCCUUUCACAGUGCAUGGGUCCAGCACCAGGAAAACCCAAUCAUUGAUUCUAGUUACUAAGGCUAACAGACAGUUCUUGUGCCUAGGACAAUUGUCCACCUCUCAUCUUCAGUGAGAUGUGUUAUUCCCAUGGGAGAUGGACUACUUGUUUGUACUUGUGUGGCUUACACAAGUCCUCAAAGGUCUGAGGGUUCAUCAUCAGACCAUACAGAGAACAGGCCAAUAAUAGAACACUUAAAGAAGCACCGGUCCAUGGCAGAAGUUCCAAAAUGCUUUUUGUUGUUGAUCUUUUCUUUAGAAUUAUCUCAUGUAUCCUAGGUUACUGCCAAACUCAUUGAGUACCAAGGAUAACCUUAAAGUUCUUGUCUUCUUAACCCUUCCUUCUGAGUGAUCAGAUCACAGUAGUAUAUCAUAACACCCGUUAUGCUCUCAUUUUCUUUUAAGAUUUAUUUUCUUAUUUUAUGUAUAUGAGAACAGUGUAGCUGUCUUCAGACACACCAGAAGAGUAUAUCAGACGCCAUUACAGAUGGUUGUGAGCGACCAUGUGGCUCCUGGAAAUUAAAUUCAGGACUUCUGGAAGAGCAGUCAGUGCUCUUAACCACUGAGUCAUUUCUCCAAUCCCAUAUUACUAUUCUUUAUUUGUAUGUUUUUCUUUUCAUAGUGCUGGGAAUUGAACCCAGGGCUUUAUGCAUACUAGACAAGCAUUGCAACAAUUGAGCUAUAUCUCAGCUUCAGAAAGUGUUUGGUGAGUCAGAGUUUCCUGUGCUAGUUAGGGGUUAUUAUUAUUGAGGUAAAAUACCAUGACAAACAGCAAAUUAGGGUUUAUCUGACUUUUACUAAUACAUUACUGUUCACCAUUGGAAAAGUCAGGACAGGAACUCAAGUAGGGCUGGAGUUGGUUCAGAGGCUAUUGAGGGAUUCUGCUUUCUGGCUUGCUCCUUAUGGCUUGCUCAGCCUGCUUUGUUACAGAACCCAGGACUAUUAGCCUAGAGAUGGCAUCACCCAUAGUGGGAUGAGUCAUUGAUCACUAAUUAAUCUUGUGUCAAGUUGACAUAAGACUAGCCAGAACAAUUAACUUUUUGUCAGCCUGACAAACAAACACAUUACCAUUAAACCACCAAAAUCUUUCCAUUUUUGUUCAACCCCACGAUUACAUAUUAAUAUCAACAUCACAAUAAAAAACAUUUGCAAGCUUAAAAAGUCUCACGGUCUUUACAUAUUCGAACAGUUUAAAAUUUGGUCCCAUUUAAAAUUUCAAUAUCAGUUUAAAAAAAUCAAAAUCUUUCAACUGUGGGCAUUUAUAAAAUCAAAAAUAAUAUUUUCUUCCUUCAAGAGGGAAGAACUAGACACAAUCUCAGUCAGCAGAAAGCAAAACUGAACGCCAGCAGUGUAAAUAAAUACCUUAAUACCCAAUAUCUGGGAAUAACUCAUGAUCCUCUGGACUUGGGUUACUUCUGUGGCUCCACCUCUUAUGAUGUGCACAUACACACACACACACACACACAGACACACACACACACACACACACACACACACACACACACACACACACACACACGGACACGGACACGGACACAGUCUUCUGGAUACAGCUGGCUCCACUCCUCUGUGGUUGUUGUUCCUAAUGAGAAUCCCAUGGUACCAGCACCUCAAAGUGCUGGGUCUCCUGCUGCGUCUGGGCUUCAUUUCACUCAUAACCUUUCUUGGGUUCCCUUCAGAGAUUCUAACCUUGCCACAUAGUGGCAAAUCUCAGCUGGUCUCCAUGAUCCCUUCACACCUUCAAACCAGCACCACCUGCGUGACUCCUGACUAUCCGCACAAGGUAAAACCUUGGCCACCUCUGGAACACAAGUUCUGACUAGUUUUAUGUCAACUUGACACAAGCUAAAGUCAUCUGAGGAAAAGGAACCUCGAGCAAGAAAAUGCCUCCAUAAGAUUGUCAUCAAGCAUUAUCGUAUGGCAUUUUCUUAAUUCACUAAUUAAUUGAGGGAAAGGGACCAGCGUAUUGUGGGGUAGGGAAGCAUCCCUUGACUGGUAGUUCUUGAUUGUGUAAGAGAGCAAGCUGAUAAAGCCAUGAUGAGCAAGCCAGUAAUCAGCAUUUCUCUAUUAGCUCCUACCUUCAGAUACCUGCCAUGCUUGAAUUCCAGUCCUGACUUCUUGGAAGUGUAAGGCCAAUAAAACCUUUCUUAUCCAAUUUACUUUGGCCACUUUCUUUCUUUGCAGCAAUAGAAACCCUAGCUAGGCUAGUAACUGGUACCAAAAGAGAUAUUUCUGUGAAAGACCUUACCGUGUGUUUUGGGGAGGACUAUGGAAAGCCUUUGGAAUUUUGGCCUAGAAAAAUUAUUGAAUAUUGGGAGCCCAGCAGUCUGCACUGUAGUAAGUAGUUUGGAAGAUAAAAAUGUUGCAGGCAUCACAUGUUGGAGGCCUGACUUAUGUCUUUUAGAGGGAAGUUUAAAAACCCAGGGCCAUUUGCUAUUUUGAAUGAGGAGUCUGUAGCUCUGGGGCUGAGGAAUCAUCUGUGAUUAUCAAGAUACCAGAACUACUAAGGUGAGACUUGUUUUUCUGAGAUACUCAAUGCUGGUCAGCUAGAGCUGAGAAAAUAUAGGUGAUUAAAAAGAAACCAGCAGAUGUUGGAGACGGGAGUUAUUGGACAACUGGGAGGACUGGGGAGAGGGGAAACUGUGGUUGAGUUAUAUUAUAUCAGAGACAAAUCUAAUUUCAGUUAAAAGGAGAUAUAGCAGCAUUGUGGUAAAAUCUUCUGGUGAGUGUUACCUCAACUCCAGCCCACAGUUUUUGGAGGACACUAAACCAAAAGACCCCUGUUGCUAUGUGAUGGUAGGUCUUACCCUUCCCUUGUUUUAUGUUUCUGUAUUUUCCUGAUCUAAGUUGUUUGAAGAAUUCAAAAGAUACUGCCAAUGGCAGCCAAAGAUGCCCCAAGUGGAAAUGGGAACCUUUUGUUUAUUUGAGUUGCAUUAUAUGAAAACAGAUGCACAGCCAUCUCUUUGCUAUUGCAUUCGACCCUCUGAUGCUUCUAUUAAGGCAGAGUAUGGGUGGAAAAUUCCAGAAGGGAAAAAAAAACCCAGUAGGGUCUGGAGAGGAACACUGAUGAAGCACCACCAUCCAUUUACAUUAUAGCUGGAUCUGUGCACUUUAACAAGCAGCAUUUGAAUUGUCUCUUGGCAGUUUCCACAAUCCAUCUUUAGUAGUCAGUGCUGGAUAACUAAGCAAAUGCUCCAGUCUGUGGCUCUGGGAUGUUUCAUAAUCAGAAGCCUCAUGAUCUGAAGAGUCUAUCUGCAUCAUGCUUUGCUUGCCCGUAUCACCUACAUUGAAGGCCACAUAACCCCUUGAGGAUGAGGGGCGAUCAUUCUGUAGCUCUCUGAAAUGGAUCAGGCAGCCGCUUCUCACGUACAAACCUACUAUGCUUUCAAGGGAGUUAUUGAUUUCUUCCAAUUUUUUGUUUGUCAUUUCCUCGAUUUCUUUUAGGACCCCUUUUCAUUUCUUUAAGAACCACCAUCGUCUUCAUAAAGUUGGUUUUAAGGACAGUCUCUUGUGCUUAGCUGCAGUGAAAUGUUCAGAUCUUGCUAUCACAAGAUACCUGGGCGGCUCUGAUGAUGCCAUAUUGCAUUCUUACACUGGGGUUUAGGAAUCUGGGUUUGGGAUGAGUAUAGGUCUGGGGGGCUAAUUUCUGAGUUUGUCCUUGUUGGGUGGGUGUUUUGUUCUUUGGUUUCUGUUUCUUUCUUGUUCUUCCCGUCUUUAUGGACCGGAUCUAGUAAGGAGUCCCUGAUCAGGUUGGGGGCCUAGACUUCAGACAACUUAAUUUGGCCUUUGGUGCAGCAGGGAAUGCUCUGUUUUCCUGGCUUGUGUGACCCACACCUGAGCAGUGGGAGUCUACUAGAAUUGGGGUAAGAGCACGGUAGCAGGACAGGCAGUGAGUUGUGAUGGAGUGACAGUGGAAUGUGUCUUGGGGAACCCAGUCUAGGGAGUGGGUCCAUUCAGCAGGCAGGCAGGUAAUUCUCCUGUUUGUCUGACUGGCGUGGCCUGCACAUGAACCACAAGAGUUUCACACUAUACUAUCAAGAACAAAUGGGCACUGGGAGAUUGUAUUAUGGUUGUGCACUGACAUGUAGAGAAGCCAAACUAUGCUUUCAAUGUCCACAUAGCUAUAGUAUAGAAGGAAUGAAGGGUGGUCCCAGACUGCUGUCCCACAAGUCCAUGGUGUAACUGUGACUUUUAACUCAUAUAUUUCUGGUACCCCAAAGUGGACAGCCACUGUCUCUAUUUGCAGGUUUCCUGAGGUGGGCAUCUCCUGUCAACAAUUACCUUCUACCUACCCUAGCCACAAAAUUUACUCAUCAUGCCUGAAUAAUAGAAGAUAUUUGUCAUUGCUGUCCUUGCCUUUCUUCCCAAAGACAGACGCUGAGUCAUAAUCAGUGUUUUCAUGCCAGAGGAUAGGUGCCUGGAAUGUGGUCUCUAUUUUUGCUGGAUGUAUAUAUGUAUACACAGACACACAGACACACACACACACACACACACACACUCAUAUAUAUACACAUAUACAUACAUAUGUAUACACACAGAUAUGUCAUAUCUGAGCAAAGUUUGUACCACGCUGAGUCUUUAAGCACAGAUGCACAGCAGGUGGUAGGCAACCUUGCCUGCACAGUUGAAUGAAAGACUAUACAGACAGUGGGCGAUAGAGAAUCAGGCCUGCUGGCCUCAGCAUGACUUGGUGUUUCAAUGGAAGUACAACUAGAGUAAAAGAUAGAUGUCUGGUGAUGGAAGCAGCAGGAACCUGGGAGACUUGAACUGUAUCACUCAUGGGGAUGGCUUAGGACAAACUGCAGUGUCUCAACGCUUGCUCUCCCCCCAACUCCAUAUUCACUUCUGAGAGGCUGGGGACAACACAGCCUUUCCUUUUUAAGUUGUUCUAUAGAUGAAAUGACACCAAGGAAGCUUGCUCCUUGACAUCAAGCAGGUGUCAGGUUAGAUAUUCAUCUCAUCCAUUUGGAAAGUUUUUAUGGAAUACCGGCUUCAGAUCAGGAGACCACAGCUGUGGCCUACAGUCCAAAUCCACCCCACUCCCAACAUCUUGUGCAUAUGAAAUUUUUCAUAGGAAUGUAGUCCUCCGUAUUUAUUUGCAUUCUGCCAGUACACCCUCUGUAUUGCAAAGCAGAACUGAGGUGUUAAAGUAGAAACCCAAGGCUUGCCCAUCAUGGGGCCUUCUCUUUAACCCCUUCACCCUUUCUUCCUGAAGUUUUUAGCUUCUGUGUUAGAUAACUAGAAGGAAGAUUUGAUCAUGAGCAAAGCUGUAACUCUGCCUUGCUCACUUGUCCCUUGCCAGGUUAUGAUGAACCUGAAACAUAGGUGAUGGUGGACAGUGAGGGGAAGAGGAUAGAUAUCAAGGAAGGGCUUCCUCUCCUUUUGGCACAGUUUGAACAGUGAAGCCAUUCUCUUCUCAGAGAUAGAAGGCCUAAAAGGGAACAGGGAGGGGAACAAUAACUGUUCAGGGAUUAGUUACCUACUUGUACUUGCUUCGUGCUAGGUUGAAAAGUGCAAAGGAAUUAGAAAAUCGUUAAUAUGGUAGGUUUUACAUGUGGGAGACAUCGAUAAUACAGAAUGUUUUGGGAGUAGUGGAGGUGUGUGUGUGUGUGUGUGUGUGUGUGUGUGUGUGUGUGUGUGUGUGUAUUGUGUACAUGUUUGUGCAGGUUUGGUACAGAUUCUUGAUGUCCAGAUUCUCAUGGACUAGAAGCUGACAUCAAGUGCCUUCCUUUCUUGAUCUCCAUUGUAAAAGGGAAUUCCUAGAAGAAAGCUGUCUGCCCUGGCUGACUGCUAAAAUGUCAGCGAUUAUGGAGAGUUUGGAGUGGUGCUGAUCAGAUUAGCCUUUUUAUGGUUUUUCUCUGGCUAUCGUUAGCUCCCUAUACAGGCAAUUUUUGCCCAAACAAUCCUGAUCAGGACUAACAUCUAGAAAAGCAGAUAAAAAUAGACCAAUUUAACAAAAUCUUCUCCUCUAGUGGAAAGUCUGCAGUGCUGUCAGAUAGUGAUGAUCACUCAAAGUUGGCUCCAGAAUCAAUGCUCUUACUCUCUUUGAGGCAAGAGCUGUGUUUUUGCCUGGACCAUCUUGUUCUUUUGAGAUAGAGUGAGUCUCUUGCUGACUCUGACACACUGGUUGGCUGGUCCAGGAACCCUGGGGGAUCUUCUUGUUUCUACCUCCAAGUAGUUGAGUUAAAGAUACACACUGCCACAUUUGAUGCUUACGUGGGUGUUGGAGGUCGAACUCAUGUCCUCAGACUUUACCCACUGAGCCUUUUUCCAAACCCCAAAAGUUGGGUUUUUUUGUUUUGUUUUGUUUUCUUUUCUUUACUUCUAAGUUACGAGAGGGAGAGCAUUAUGGAAUAACUCUAGGGAGGAGUCGGAAUGGUGAAGGAAGUGUUACAACAGCAGGGGUCAAGAUAGCUGAGAGGGAGAGAUUUGCUUUAGUCUUGAGGUCAGAUAGAUAAAGGGAGAUGUGCAGGCAUGUGGGAAAAGAACCCCCAGAUAAGAAGCAAUACGGUUAAUGCUCAGAGUCAGUAAUACACCUGGUAUAUUUUAGAAGCAGAAAGGAAGUUAGUGUGGUGUGGGCUGAAUUUGAAGAGAAUGAAGGUGGUCUGAAUGAAUAUGGCCCCCAUAGGCUCCUAGGGAGUAACACUAUUAGGAGGUGUGGCCUUGGUGAAAGUGUUUCACUGGAAGUGGCCUUUGAGGUUUCAGAUGCUCAAGCCAGGCCUUACGUCACUCUUUCUUCUGUUGUCUUUAAACCCAGAGGUAGCACUCUCAGCUAGUUCUCCAGCACCUUGUCUGUUUGCAUACUGUCACACUUCCCACUGUGACAGUGGACUAAACCUCUGAGCUGUGAGCAAGCACCAUUUAAAUGCUUUUCUUUUAAAGAGUUGUCAUCUUGUCUCUUCACAGCAAAGGAUACUACAACAAUUAUUCAGUGCUAGUAGUUGAGACCAGAGAGCUCAUGCACCAUUGACAGUGGUCAGAGGCCAUUGUUUUGAAGGUCUAAACACACAAGGUAAAUUCUUCUGUAGGAAGUCUCAACCAUAAGACAGAAACAGAAGGUAAAUUUGAAAGGGUUUCUAUUGGAGAAAGUUAACCAAAUCAACCCAAUAGUAGAAGACUGGCUUUUCUCCUAGACCAAGAAGUGACUCAAUGUAGGUCAGAGACGUUUCCUCCUUCUCCAGGGGAAGCAGAUGCUGAUAGCAUUAAAAGCUUAGGCUUGGUGCCAUGGGUAAUUAAAGUCCAGGAUGGUUUAUGAGAGGGCAGGGCGCACACACAGAAAUCAGUGUGCAAGCCUACAGGUGCAGAUAGGGAUGCAGACACCUGCUGUGUCUGUGUCAGUGCCACAGUGUACAAUUGGAGCAGUGUCAGGGAAGAUUACUUUCCUUUUUCUGACUCCAGAAAAUGUACCAUCCAUACCCCCUUUUUGUGGGUGGCAGUUAUCAAGACAGAGGUGUAGAAGGCUGUUCCUCACAGACUGUGUGAUGCAGGAUGCUGGCGGACAAGUGGACCAGAAUCCUUCUGAACAGGCACCAAGAGAAAAAAUUCAGAGCAGAUGUUCUCAGUCUGCUGCCAUUAUGUGGAACAUAUUUUCCCAUUUCCUUCUGAUGGCUAUGGACCAGUCGGGGAAGAUUUGUUUGUACUCCCUUUGUUGAGUGCUCUGUACCCAAGUGCAGACUGGGGGUUUUUGUUUUGACUCCAGAGAGUCCUGAAGUACAUUGUUGGUGGCUCACACUGACCUUAAUCUUGGAACUGCCCAAUUCAGCCUCUUGAAAGCUGGGGUUACAAGUGUGAGUCAACCAUAGAAUAGCCUCUGACCUGCAGGACAAAUAAGCUUUAGUCCAGAGAAGCAUGCUCCUCACUUCCACCAACACUGGGAGAAACAGCAAAAGAAAAGUCUGGGCUUUGGCCCUGGAGAAUAUGCUGAAAUAAACGAUGUGCAGUUCAGAGUAUAGAACAUACCCCAAUUAUCCAGUCAAUGGAGUCCUACAGCUUAUUGGGUUCCCUGUGACAUCUCUCUACCUUCUACAAUUGUAUCUACAUUUUCUUGCCCUAAAGUAUAAAGUUUUCCACAACUGUGGAUUUUUUCAUAGCUGCUCUAAGGUUGUAGAAAUUAGGUAUUUAACUUGAAUGUGGUGUAGAAGUGCCAAUAGGUGUUUGGAAUUCUAUUGAUCAUGUCUAGCCAUGUUUCCCACAUAUGUAAGGCUUCCUUGUCCUUAAGAAUAAGUCAGAGUAUGUUUACUGGACACUUGAAUAUUACACCACUACAUCCUGCUCAGUGGCCUAUGCCUCGUUAACAUCAUCAGGUUUUUGCAUCCAUUUUACACAAGAAGAACUUGAAGCACAGAGACAGACCCAGAGACCCAGAGACCAAGCCAAGUGGUAGCUCUUUUGAAAUUUCAGCUUGCAGAGUACGGGAUCUGACACUUAGGAACCAUACUUCCCAGAUACUACAAUGCACAAGAGUUGCUUGUAAAGUUUUCAAAGCUCAGAUAGCAUCCCAUCCCUCUAGAGAUUCUGAUUUCUGUGGCCAGGGUUAAGGUAUAGUUAUCAAUGGUUUUGCUGUGUUUUAUUUAUUACUCUGUGUGUGUGUGUGUGUGUGUGUGUGUGUGUGUGUGUGUGUAUGUUAAUGUACAGCUGUGUGCAUCCCAUGACAUACCUGCAAAGGUCAGCUGGAGACUUGACUCCUGGUAAUUAGUUCUUUCUUUCUACCAUGUGGGUAGAACUGAAUUGAACUCAGGGCAUCAGGCUUGGUAGCAAGCACUUUUUCUCACUGAGCCAUCUUGCUGGACCUUUUUACAUUUAUUUAAUGACCGAUUUUAUUGUGAAGUCAGUUACUCAAAAAUUCCUAACAGAAUGUACAGCUGAAUUGUGGUCAAGGACAAAUUUGUGACAGAGGAAACACCUCAAUGCUUCAGGGCUUCAUUUGCCCAGCACAGCCAUCAUCCUAACCCCACAUCAGCCACUCUGCUACUUCCCCACCUAAGUACUCAUCCCUCUUUUGUGCUUGUUCUUGCCUACUCAGAAGUUUAUAUCACGACAGCCAUCUAGACUGAGCUAUUUUGUGUCUAUCCUGUGCUUGUGAUGUGAAACCAUAUGUUUCUGUGCAGCUUUCACUCAUUUGUGUACAUUGCUGUGUAGAAUUCUGUUGUAUGACCAGACACAGUGUCAGUCACCACGAGUGGAAAUUUGGGCAGAUUCUUACAUUGGAAUAUUUUAGGUAAGGUCUCUAUAAAAUUGGAGGUAUAUGUUCUUUGGUACAUAUAUGUGUAUUUUUGUCUUCAAGGUUUAUACAUAGGAGUAAAAUUGUUGGAUAAAGUGUGUGUUUAUCUUUAAAUAUAUUCCAAAAUGUCUGUAUGUUUUCCAAUGUGGUCCCUAGUCCUAACAAAGGUAUCUGAGAAUUCUGUCUCUACUGCAUCUCACCAACCAUUCCUAUUGUCAUUCAUUUUGAGCCAUUCUGGUAGGUGUGGUGAAGUAUCUUGUGGGUUGAAUUUGCAUUUCCCUCUUGGCUUGUGAGGUUGCUUGCUUUUCAUUUUGAUAAAAGCCAUUGGAGAUCCUCUUUUGCAAAGUGGGUACUUCAGGUCUGACAUUACUUUUCCAUUACAUUGUCUGUGUUUUUCUCAUAGACUCUGGAUAAAAGCCCUUUAUUAAUAAUUACACGUGUAGGAAAUAAUUCUUCUCACUCUGUGGUUUUUCUCUCUGGGUGCUUUUGUUGUUAUUGCUUUGUUUGGUGGACAAAAAUUCCUAUUUUAAUGAAGUGCAAUGAAUAACAUAAAUCACAUUCUUCACAACAAAGCCCUGGAGAUUUUCAAUUAUUUUUUUUUUCUGGAAGUUUUGUCCUUUUUUUUUUUCCAUGUUGAAGCCUACCAUUGAGCUGGAAAUGAUUCAGUAUAUGGUAUGAGGUAGACAUUAACCUUUCUUCUUCUCCUUCUCACCCUCUUUCUGUAAUUGAUAGGAAGUUUUCAUGGGAACAUCUUUUGAAACUUGUAAUUUAUGAGUGUUUGCUCAUAUUUAUUUAUACUUCCCAUUAACCUUAUCACUGGGAAAUAACCCCAUUAGGGGAGACACUCAGUACUUAGGAGCAUUAGUUUCUGUUGUGAAGGACCAGGGUUCAGUCUCCAGCCCCCUCAUGGUAGCUUACAGCCAGCUGCUCCCAGCUGUUCUGGGAGAUCCAGUAUUCCAUUCUGACUUCUGUGGUCACCAGUCACACAUAUGGUGCAUACAUGUGUGUAUACAUUGGCGAAUUGAUAGAUUAAAAAGCUAUACCACAUUGUUCUUGUGGAUUCCAAUUUGCCUAUUUCCACUGACCUUGAAAAUGUUACUCAUAUUUGUCUCUUCUUUCAUAACUACUAUAGUCUCCAAGACAAGCAUCUCUCAUUACCUUCAAACGUAUUGUCUCUGUUUCCCAAAUUGUCAAUUUCUUCAAAAUUCACUGACUCCACUUCUUUACAAGUUCCAUACUUUCUCUUUGAAAAUAAUCUCCUCCUCUCUCACUCCCUCUCCCUCCUCCCUCUUUCCUAUCUUUUCAUUAUGACAAACGCUCCCACUAUGUAGCUCUGUUGUUCUUGCAACUCACUAUGUAGACUGUGCUGGCCUCAGCCUCUCAGAGAUCCAUCUCACCUAGAAGCUUUUCUCCUCUCAGGCUCGUUCAUGCUCCUGACACAGCUCCAGUGGGACAUUGUUGGAUGUGAUGUUCUGCUUUGGGCAAAACAGAUUAUGUUCUUUUCCUUAGUUACUGGAUUCUAAUGCUAGUCUUUUACUUAGGAGUUUUGGUUCUAUAAGCAUUUGUAAUAAUACCGUGUCUGGUUUUUUGAAAUUUUAUUCUGGUCCCUUUCCUAAUAUGUAUAAUGAGUUUCAAAUUGGAUCAGAGAGUGGCUGUUCACCAAAACUCCUAAGAAUUAAUGAUUCAUAUGCUAUUACUUGAGAGGUUAGGAGAACUUCUAAUUUUUAUAGUAUCUCUCUGCUGGAUUGGGGAUUUAAAAAUUACUUUGGUUAUUCACAUGUUAUAUUUAAAUAGUGUAAUUUUAAAACUUUUUAUAAGAUUAAAAAUUAUGAAUGAAAGGUAGAAUUUGGCUUGUUGGGUUGACGCACGUCCUGAGGAUGCUGAAGUAGAUGGAUCUCAAGGAUGAGAACAUGAGCUGCACAAUGAUCCCGUUUCAAAUUACUGAAAAAAAAAAAGAAUAAACUAGAAAACCAAAUCUAGAGAACCAGCUAAAUAUAAACAAAAAUAUGUUACUAGGUAGUUGAUAUAUAGAUAUGGUUAUUUUUUUCCUUUUUAAAAAGAUUUAUUUAUUUUAUGUAUAUGAAUACACUGUCACUGUCUUCAGGCACACCAGAAGAGGGCAUCAGAUCCCAUUACAGAUGGUUGUGAGCCACUAUGUGGUUGCUGAGAAUUGAACUCAGGACCUCUGGAAGAGCAGUCAGUGCUCCUAACCGUUGAGCCAUCUCUCUAGCCCACAUGGUUAUUUAUUUUAAAGUCACAUUUCAAAUGAUAAAUUAUAGCUAGUUAAAUCACUGUCCCAAGCUUAAUUUUCUUCUUAAUUAAUGAUUUCGUAUUUUUUAUUUGAAUCCACUAACUUUAAUAUGGUUUUAUCUCAAUGAGUUGAAGCCUUGAUUUGUUUUAAUCUAUCUACCUUCCGUGUUGAUAGUACUAGUAGUACUGAAUUAUACUCUGAGACUGGCUUUAGAUGCCCCAUCUAAAUUAUGUAGGAAGUACUCAUUGUUAGUCAUGUUUCAGGGGAAGAUGCUCCCUUACAGAGUGUACCAAAUGCCCCUGAAGGAUCUUGUAAUGCUCACAGUAUCCGUGUAGUAGACUGGCACAGCCUUGUCCAUGCCAGAUACCUUAACUUCACUUUCUCCCUUUUCCUCUCCAAGUAGCUACCUUGUUACCUUGUACUGCUUAUGCAAACCCACACCAUGGCCAGCGAGGCUAAGUCUCUAAGGAUCAAAGAAUAUUCUGAAGAUCUGGUAUAAAGGGAUAGCCAGGGGGCUCUAGGUAUUUGAGCUCAAGAGUAGUACAAAGAAUUUCUCACUCUUAUGAUUAAAGCAAGCAAAACAUGAGAUGGCGUUUAUAGUUAGCUUAAUCAAAUACAAGGACAGUGAGGGAAUACACUUGGUGUUAAGUCAUCAUCUUUGGUCAUGUGAAAAUAGCCAAGACUGUUCCUCCCAGGUCAUUGCCUUUCCCACAGACAUAAAGUGGGAACUCCAGGUCAUUCUUUUCCUGUCUUUCCUUUCAACUGUAAUCACUUACCAUACUUCAUGCAAUUCUUUCUAGAAAGUACCAUGGAAAGAACAUUCUGCCAUUCAUAGUACACAGUAAAUUUACAGCUGUCUUACACGGCCUCCCGCAUGCCUUAUUUUUCAAGCACAUUUCCUUGCUGUUCCCUGGCCAUUGACUAUAGAUAUACACCAUCACCUUGCUUCCUGUAAGAGGAACCCUUGAGUUAUACCUCGUUUUGUGGAAUCGAGUGCUAAGGCUACCUACCACCUUGCAAAUCCUUACACAAUAUUGCUGGACAAGGGUCUUGAGCUAGAAAAGCUACCCAUACUGGGAAUGUGGAUCUAUUCCUGUCAAGAGGAAGGGAAAGUUGUUUGAGAAGGGCUGAAGUACUUAGCAUGAAAUCACUGCUGGGUCAAGCUAUUUUCUGUGUUGGGAUCCCAUUUGGUCUCUUUGUUGUCAGGUUGGGUUCCAGAAAAUAAGUGUUGAGGUGAAUCCUGUUAAUGGGCUCUUGAAUAGGCUGAGAGAACAGAAAGGAAUUUACACAGAGAUAGGGAGAAAGUUAGAAACACUUAAAUUCCCACAAUAUGUCAUCUAUCUUCACCAUAGUUCCAGAAUCUUGAACUAUCAUUCAAAUGAUCCCAAAUUCAGACAGUGAGGUAGAGUUUCUGUUUUCAUGCUGGUCAGUCACCAUCUUUUCACCAUUUCUGGAAAGAGAUGUGAUCUCAGGUAAGGGGUGUUAGGCCAGGGUUGGGCUAACCUUGGAGGGCAGGCUGGUCACGAAGCUACCCACUAUUCUUUCUGCACCUGAGUGGGGAUGUUUUGUUCUAGAAACAACAAAACCUCUGAGGUUGCUUUACUGCAUCUACUCUAGCCUUUUAUGUCUAUGUCCCUGGGCAAGGGACUGCAACUAUGAAAAGCCUAACACAACACAUGUUAGGGAGAAACAGAACUAACAAAUGACACCUAACCCUAGGGCAGGUCUUCAGAAAGAUAAGCCAUCUGGUGGAAAGUGUACUCUGAUUUGGUGAUUGCAGGGUGUGUAGGAGUUUGCCAGUUAUCACUUUAAAAAUGAGGCAUAAGGCACCCUUAGAUCCGAUUAAAUUUUACCCCUAAACUCUGAGUGUCAGAGUUGGUAUUUAAAACUAAGCAGUCUGAUAUCAGCAUACUGCUUUUGAUUGGAAGAAUAAAUCCUUCUCUCUGUCUCCUUGGAUUUACUUUAAGAAUUUCAGAGCCUUGAACCUGUAUUUCUCAAAUGACUACUUAGUUGUUCUCUGUGCUGCCCUUAACACAUCACUGAGCUGCUGACAGGUGUAGAAAUUUGGCUUCAGAAUCUCUCCGUCAAGCCCCAGCCUAGAGGUCCUGCAGCUUCUGGGGUUUAAUGGAUAGUGCUGAGAAGUAUUCAGGCUUGAUCCUUUCAGCUUCUGUUAACCCUGACCUCAUUGUUUCCGCUUGCAUGCUCCUAGGAGCCUGUCCACGUCCUGGUUUUUGAAAAGUCAUCCCAUGACUGUAUAUUUUUGUCUGCUUUUCUCAUGGAGAAAUCCAUUCAUUCACAUUUUAUUUCUACAGUGUUUGAACCACAUUGGUGCUCUGUCCCUAUCCUGCACAGUGAUAGGAUUUGGGCAUCCAGAGAGAAGUCAGCUGUAGUAUCACCCAAGGAUGAGGAGAUGGUCAAGAGAGCAAACUGUAAACGAGUGGUGCUGCCCAUGUCAGGGAAACGGAACUAACUCUCAGCCCUAGAACAUGUCUUCAAAAACGAUAACCCUUCUGGUGGGGUGUGCUCUGACUUGGGGUUUGCAGGAUGUGUAGGAGUUUGUCAGUGACAAACUCAAUUUUUACAGAUUCUCAGCCUCCUCAGGGAAACUUAACAAAGUGUCUUAGAACCAUGGCAGCAAACACUAACAUGGAGAUUCUAGGUGCUGUUUCUCUGGAAGCUUGGAGCUUAGACUGCCUCUGGAGAAAUUCUCUUACUCCUCCCAGCAUUCCAUUUGUGGCAUUGAUUUGCCUUAUCUCCACUUUACAAAUGGAAAAAAAAAUGGGGCAUUGAGAUUCAGAGGGUGUCAGUAACUUAGCCCAAUUGUCUGAAUUGAGGAAAGCCAGUAUUUGGACCUGGAUGCAGUUUUUCAAUGUUGUUAGUCAUAGUCCUCCCCCAGAGUCACUUGCUAAACACAACCAUCUUCCUUCUCUCCCCUAUCUGAACAUCUACACAGGUCAAAUCCAACAUCUACACUGAUUCUUUGGAUUAAAGAUACCUCUGUGCCCUGGGUCUAGCCUCUUUCAGAAAAUUUGACUGUCAUAAAAAGGAACAUCGGAACCCUGUAGGGUUUUGGGUUAGGCAUCAUUUACAACUGUAUGGUACAAUCUGCAAAGGAGAUGUUACUGCAUUGCUGAUUUGUGUGGCUGGUAACUGCUGUUGCCUUGGUAACACAGGGAGCAGGGGCCAUGAUGAGGAAGGAACCCCUCACUAUUGGCUCCCAGGCUCUUAGGGAGAUGAGGUAUUGUUCUUCAUGUCAAGAAAGUUCAGCCCCCAAUUCUCAGUUGGUUUGCCUGACUGAGAAGACCCCUGUCCUCACCACUGACCUCUACAGGAAAGGGAACACUGUGGGCUUGGAUUUGUAGGAUUCAUAUUGGGCUUUGGGGUUCAUAAAUACUGGGAGUGCAGCAUUUUGGUCAUUUGCUGCUUAUUCCAGGCACCUAGAAGAGCACUUGGCCUGUAGUGGGUGCUACACUCACUGAAAGAAUGAAUCCUAGUUGCAGGCUGUCGGUAAGCUUCACAGCAGUUAACUUGAUAAGAUGUCGUGCCACAUCUUGAAAGAUAUUCUGAAAAAACAGCCCUUGUCCACCUGGAUGGAUCUUAAGAGUGUUCAACACCAAUUAGAAAGGCUUCAUCCGUCCCAGGCUGGAAAGGAGACUGUUGAAUGCGCAACUUUCUGGAAAGAGAGAUUGCAGUGCCCUCUACAAGGCCAAGGCUCUGGCACUUUUUGUUAGUUUGAGUCCAUGAGGUAUUUUCUUUCUACUUUCUGCUUCUAUUUAUUCCUCCCUCUCUUUCCAUCUCUCCCUUCCCCUCCCCCCCAACAGUUUAUAACAUAAGCUACUCCAUUUGAUUCUGACAUCUGCCUCCAGGGAAUUUUCCAUCCACAAGAAAAAUCUCCUUUAUUUUAUUCUACCAGUUCUGACUCUUUUAACCUUGUGGGAGUCUGGAAUUUAGAGGACCUGAAUAGGCUCUAUAAGAUAUAGUUACAAAGCUGAGAAACCUGGACUAUUAACGACCGCUACGACUACAAGGCCAGGUAACCCUUUGGGUGCAUCUGGUCAAGUGUCAAUGGCUGUGGUGUCUCCUCUGUAGAUCUCUUACAAAUGCUGAUUUGGGCCAGUGUUAGGGACUGUCUUCCUCAUAGAAUGAGUGUUUGUCAUAUUAAUGUAGUUGUGAAGCUUAACAUUGUCACUUCUCAGCUAUGUAGACCUGAACAAGUGGCUUAUCCUCCCUGAGGCUUAGUCUCCAAGCCUGUAAUCUUAGGACUAAUAGACCAACCUUUGAAGAUGUUGGGUGAAUUCAGCAUCUUUCUAUCACACAUACAAAACAUAUGCUGAUGGUCUUUGGAUUAUGAUGUUUCUUGACCUCUGGGCCUACUGUUUUUACAACAUGAUGUCCUUUUCAUGUCCCAAACUUCUACCCAGAUGCUCAGCACCCUCUCACCUCCCUACCUUACGGCUCUAAUCUCCCUUGAUGUGGAAAGAAAACCUUAAUUCACCCUCCCUUCCCUACAACCCUGCUUUGUAGUAGACCUUGAUGAACUGGAGCUCUAUCUCAGGAAUGGAAGAUUGCAGAAGUGUCUGUUAUGUCUCCUUGUGCAUUACACUCAAGAGGAGCAGGCUGGGCUUGGUGAGAAUUGACUAAUUAGACUCAUGAAUUGAUGGAUUGCUCUGGGCAUCAUUUCUCACUCACCGGUAUCACUGGCUCUUAUUUCUCUUUGGUGUAGUGAACAAAUCACUCAGCCCAGGUUAUGAAAAUGGAGGAGAGUAGGAGAUGACGAAGGGUACAGUGUGUGUGCAGGAUGCACUCUGCACCAUCUAUUGCUUGGAAACAGAGAACUGGGCUGAGCUGUGUGAGCAUCAGUGUCUCUUUACCCAGAUUCUGGUGUUUAGCUCAAUCUAUUCAUGUUUGGGAAAAUUCCAUCAUGUGUGUGGAUGUAGAUAUGUCAAUGAAAUAGGAUUUAUGAAGUUGGCCUGAGUCUCGUGUGUAUGUUUUGAUGUUGGGAGAACUCACCAUCUUUUUCCCAGCCUAAAAGCCUGUAUUUAGGUUUCACCUUAGCUUAAAACCCACACAGAAUCAUACAGUCUUUGUUUAUAUUUCUUGGUUCUUUGAUGUCCAUCAGGAAAAGCAAGGGUGAUAGUCUCUGCCCAAUGAGAUUUUGCACAAGAUGAUGGAAUGAACUGAUUUUUCUCAUGCUCAGUCAAAUUACCUAGCUGAGUACUGAAUAAGUACUAUUUUAACACUGCUCUCCCUUACACCACAAAACUAUAUAUCUGGCACAUCUAUACAUUUGUCUUAAUCAUGUUAUCAUCACCAGUAAUAAUACAACUAGGAUUUCUUGGCCUCUGUAUAAUCAUAGGUGGGCUGAGCCAAAAAAAAUAAUUUUAUAAAAUAAAUGCCAAGAUUUCCUCAAGAGCUCCCAGAAGGGAAAUCAGGGGCAAGCUGAGUCCUAACUGCAGCAACAACUAGCAGCUACUUAAUUCGGCGUGAUAUGUUCCAUGUCUUUGUCUCUGGAACAAUUAGCUGGAUGAAUAAAUAUCUGUCUGCCCUCAGAAAGGGAACAUAAUAUGCAAUUAAAAUUAAGGACUUUCUAUUGAGGGGACCUGCUCCACAGAAUUAUAGGAGGAAGCUAUUAGAGAAUAUUAUUGUUUCUCAGAUUUGAGAAUCAAGGUAAUUAGGAAAAGCUAAACACUAAAGACCAGCUAGGAGGUUGAGUAGAGGGAAAAGCGAGACUCACAUUGCUGGUUGUGAGACACAGCUGGUGGUCUUGUCACUUUCUGGAGUCCUUGUCAAUGAUGCCUGCUGGAGGUUGUAACUGUGGAAGAAAAGCCAGACACACUAAUAAACCCUUGUCACCUUCUAACUUUUCCAUUUACUUCCUAUGUUUUUUUUCUGUCUUCCAAGCCUUGUUUUUUUUCUCAUGUGAAAAAAUGGGGUUAAUCAUUUUGACCACAUAGAUUUGCUGUGAACAUCAAGAUGAAAUGAUCCGUAUAAUGUGUUUCAUGAAGUACAAUUGGUCCUGGGUGCCUGUAGGUUCUGCUUCUGUGGGUUCAACCCACAGAAGAUGGAAAUUGUUGACAGCAAAUGCAUCAGUGCUCGAGAUGUAUGGAGUUUUUCUUACUAUUAGCCCUAAACAGUACAAUAUAACACCUAUUUUGCAUAUUCUUACUUAGAGGUAAUUUAGAGGUAACAGAACAUGCUGGAAGGUAUGUAUGCUAUGUGUAAAUAUUCUGUCACUUUAUAGGAAGGAACUGAAUAUCCAAAGAUUUGGGUGUCUGUGUAGUUUCUGCAACCAAUCCUCCUUGAAUACUGAGAGAUUACUCUUCAAGGGAGUAGUUAGGCUUUUAGAGGUCGUUCUUUUCUACUCAUUGUUGUGUAGAGAUGUCUACAUGAGACAGAGAGGUUUAUAGUAAAAAGGCAGCAGUUGGCACAUUAGAGUUCAGGAUGCCUUUGACUUCCAUCUCCAGAGGACUUGCACCUUAGGGCCAUUUUUUAUUUCAUAGAAUAAGAAUCCAUGCUUGAAUGAAUAGCCUAGUAAGGGCACCAGUGGAAGGGGAAGCCCUUGGUCCUGCCAAGACUAAAGCCCCAGUGAACGGGAUUGUUGUGGGGAGGGUGGUAAUGGGGGGGGGGGGAUAGGGAAGGGAACACCCAUAUAGAAGGGGAGGGAGAGGGGUUAGGGGGAUGUUGGCCUGGAAACCGGGAAAGGGAAUAACAAUUGAAAUGUCAAUAAGAAAUACACAAUUUAAUAAAGAUGGAGAAAAAAAAAAAGAAAAAAAAAUCCUUGCUUGAUUCAUGGCCCCCAUUGGCUAUUCAGUGAUUCUCUUAAAGUUACUGUUAGCAUUUCAAAUGUCAUAUCUGUCUGUUGCUACAUUUAGAAACAGGAAAGAGAGUGUCUCUUCCCACAGAUCUCUUUUGCAAGUCUACAAAAUCUUUACCCACCCUCACUCUGCCCCUCCUGCCUUAUCCCCCAGACUUAACCACAUGCAGAUUAACAAGAAGAGCAGAAAGUCUGUGACCUUCUUUACUUUCUGAGACUAGGAGGGCCCUCCUUUGAGGCACAUAGGUCCCUCUAUCUCAAACAAACAGAAAUACUUGGCCUGAACGAAACAGAAGAACAGUUUGGGAGUGGGCAGGCAAAGACAUCUGCUUGAGUACAUGGUGCCAGAUACCAAAGACAUAUGGACAACAUCGGAUGGAACAUGUCCCUAAGAAGAGGGACACCAGUGUGGCAGUCCCUGCAAUGGUUUUGUUUUGCUGUUGGGCUAGAGUAGCACUUGCAUUUUACUGACUGUGUAUUUUAGUAUCACCUGACUUUUGAGAAAUGUUUUUUGCAUAACUAUUGUUAUAUCCAACUAUCUUGGUCACUUUUCUACUGAUGUGAAGAGAUAUCAUGACCAAGUCAACCCUUAUAAAAGAAAGCAUUUAACCGGGGCCUUGCUUCAAGUUUCAGAAGCUUAGUCUAUCACCAUCCUAGCAGACAGCAUGGCAGCGAGCAUGGCACUGGAGAAGGAGUUGAGAGCUAUGUGUUUUUCCAGAGAAGGGAGAGAGAGAGGACAAGAAGGAAGGAGGUAAAAAGAGAGAAGGGGUAGGGAGAGAGGGAGGGAAAGGGAGAGAAAAUGAGACUGAGAUUGAGGCUGAGCCUGGGUCUUGCACAGAUUUUGAAACUUCAAAUAAGACCACUCCUAAUGACACACGUCUUCUAAACAGCCACAGUUUCUACUCCUUUCAAACAGUUCUACUCCCCGGUGAGUCAGCAUUCAAAUGUAUGAUCCAAUGGGAGCCACUCUUAUUCAAACCACCACACCAGCUAAUUCCAUUUGUUUUCAAAGGUGUCACUUCCUAAAAUAAAGUAACCUGUAUAAUACAACCAUUUUCUUUACAAGGUAAAUGCUAAUUUAUUCAUAGGACAGGCCUUGUAAGAGGAACUGAUGGUGAGAAACUAUGUUCUAGAAUCUAACAGUUGCAGAACUUACCAACUUCUGGGUGCUGUUGACAGAAUGAUUUCAUUACUUCUUAACACAGUUCUGUAAAUACUCUGUUGUUCCUAUUCAGUGGACAUGGAAACUGACUGACCUGAGCCAGAAACAACUUGACUGAACAGAAACAACAUGAUUUUUCUGGAUCCAAGGUCCAGCCUAUAUGAUGAUUAUUCACCUAAUAUUUACCAAAGAGUCACUGUUUGCCUGUUGCUCUGGUCAGCCCUUGGAAUGAAUUAGAAUCAUGCACUGUCUUCACUCUCAUAGAAUUUAUGAUUUCAUCAAUAAACAGAUUAAGAAAUGUGGCAUUCAGUCAAAUGGUGUGCGCCAUGGUGUGACAGAAGCAAGACAAAUGUGUUGCAUGACACUUUUCACCUCCCCUUCCCUAUUUCAUGCUUUCUCUGGUCUUUUAUCUCUUCCCACCCACUCUUUCCAUGAAGACCAGGGCUCUGGAGAGAGAGAGAGAGAGAUAGAGAGAGAGAGAGAGAGAGAGAGAGAGAGAGAGAGACAGAGACAGAGAGACAGAGAGACAGAGAGACAGAACCAAGGAUACAGAGCUAUAUUGAAAGAGUUACUGUCAUAUUGACUGAGGUGGUUACAGAUGAAUUGAUGGCCCAUGACCCACCAUGGGUGAGAAAUCUUGUAAAGGCCAAUUGUGCAGAUGUAGCUUAGACCUAGCUGCCUAAAAACCAGGACUAAUUGAUGUCUGGAGACAAGAGAAGAUGAUGCUCAGCUCAGCAAGAAAACCCAAACUUGUUCUCUCUCUGUUUCGUCUAUACUCAGACCCUCUGUGGACUGGAGGUUGGCAACCACGGGGAAGGAUAAUCUUUUUACUCAGUUUCCUGAUCAAAUUCUACUUUCUUCUAGAAGUACUCAUUAGACAUACCUACAAUCCAUACUUCACAUGCUUCCGGACAUCCACAGUCUGGGCAAGUUGGCAAAAUUAGUCACUUACUGUACUUUCAUUAAUAUAUCACUUCCUCCUUGCUUUUUUUGGUGUAUGUGUAUUUAUGUACAUGUAUGGGUAUAGGUAUAGAUACAUGUGUGUGCACAUGCAUGUAGAAGCAAGAGGUUGACAUCAGGUAUCUCUCUCAAUUAAAUUCCACCUUAUAUAUUGAGAUAGAGAGUCUCAUUACAAGAGUUUAAUGCCAGAGUUCUCUGAGGAUUGUAGGGGUUUCGUGUCUCACCCUCCAGAGUGCGAGGAUUAUAGGCAAGCUGCCAUUUUGUUCCCGAGUCCCCUCUCUACUUUUUAAUAGCUCAGUUUCUUCUCCAUUUUCUUUUACUGGCUGCUUCUAGUUACUGCAUGCAGUUCAAUGGUAGAUUCCUGCCCAGGACCACAGGGCUGAAACCCUGUUGUUUGGGUUGUGUCUAUUCUAAUUUAAACUCUUUACCUGCAGGCCCUUGGACUCCUCUUCAGUAAAAUGGAACAAAUAUCUGCUUAUACGUCUACAGAGAGUGGUGGGGAUAGUCAGACACUCUAAUUAGUAUAAAACCAGAUUGCAAAAGUGGGGAGAGAUAUGUGAAUGAGGUACUGACAUUAAAAGUAUCAAGGACAGGGAGGUUGCGAACAACAUAGUAGGUGUCUGCAUGGGCCUAAUGCAUUAAGGAACCAUCUUUUCUAGAUCAGGAAAUUUGUGUUGAGAAGCACCUGCUUUCUCAGUUCUCUGCUUAUAGCCUUCUAUUUCUAAAAUUCUCCCAUUCCUUUCUCUUUGCCAAAAGACUGGAGUUAAUGAGACCAAUGUGCAGUUAUACCCAGGACUGGGGGAGUUAUUGGAAUAACAAUGUGAGGAGUGCAGAGAGGGCCUUGGUUAAAUUCUAGACUGUGGAUUGCCAGCCUCCUAUUUGUAAUAGGGUAAUUAUGCUUAUUAUGAUGUAAAAUACCACUGAUUGUAAAAGAGGCCAUCAAUUUAACUACAACUUUGAAAAAGGAGCAAAAUCAGAAACAUUAGAUGUACCAUCCAUUUAAGACAUUGUGACUUUAGAAAUGCAAUGUGGAGAGAAAGAAGAGUGUGUCUUAUAAUUGAAGAAUUAGGGUAAUAACUCUGGGAAUUUGGAUUGGCGAAGUUACCAAAAGAAAAUAGAUUUGGUAGAAGAAGCAUGUUCAUAUUUAAGUAAUAUCUGGAGUGAGACAGGCCUGGGCUUCAGGCUGAAUCACAGGUAUGGCCAGAUUUUCUCCUGUCCCCAAGAAACCCAAAGUCAGCAAAAGAAACUGAUUCCUAAUCUGAAUGACUGAUUUCAUGAUAGUAAGACUAGAACAUUGUGAGUACUUAUUCAGAGCGUGGUAGGUAGGGAAGGGAAGCAUCAGAUGCGAAUUCCUAUAGGGAACAGUGAACGUGUGCAGGAUACAGUAAGUGGUCUGGGAGAAGAGGCAUUGAAGGGGAAGUCCAACACAAACAGAGCUCUCCAAGUGGGCAACAUGGCCAUGAAUCCUUAUGUGGAGGGUCCAUCAGAGAGAGGCAGCAUUUAUGCUGGGAGAAAACAUUGGCGAGCCAAUAACUAGACAUUAGACUGAACCUUAGGAUUCGUGAGCACCCUCAGGAACCAGACUAAACAUCUGAAUUCACUGGCAACACCGCUGGGUAGAUGACCACGUUAGCUAAACCAAACAUAUCUCAAAGUGCUAUCUAGGAACCUCAGAUCCAGGCAAUCUACAGUUUCUGAGUUUUAGAGAGACCUAGAAGAUGUCAAGGCUAUUUUCCUAGUAAUACUAAUACCUCCAUUGUCCCUUACAGUCUCAUUUUCUUGUGAGUAUACAGUGGUGUUUCUCAGAGGCCACAGGGCACAUGUGGCUAAGAUUGAAUGCAAAGACAGACAGGUGGGUCCAGCUGCCUUUAUCUAAUCCAGACCUUUGCAGAGUGCAAAGAAAAAUAAAACAGCACCAUGUUUUUUCUCUAUAGUGAUUAUCUACCUUAGAAAAAUAUACCUUUUUCUCUGAAAGUAAUAUCACUUUGGCUAAAAUGUGGUAGAUUUACCACUUUGAUUGUUAGGAUGAAUUAAAAUAUAGUCACAACACACUUGUAAUAAUUUCAGAUGACGUCUUGCCAGGGCUGGUAUUUGGUCCUUUGUACUGUUUUCACACCUCUGGGAUGAGAGGGGAUUUGGUGAGUUGUGGGUUUUACAGGUGAAGAGACAAGCUCAGAGAAGACAGACAGCUUUCUCAAGACAUGGAACAAAUCAGCACGAGGCAGGAUGCAAGUGAUAGCUGUCUAACUUGGGUCUAUAGACUUCUCAUGAUUGGUUCUGUGAAUGGGCACAUAUUCAACAUCCUGUCCCAGAUGUGUCCAGAGCUUUGAGCCUCUGUUCUCUGAAUACCUUCCUUGGUGAUCCCUUAUGUUUUUUGGGAGCAUGUACUGGUCCUAGUUGGUGAGGAUUUGCAUAUUGAUACCCACUAAAUGCAGGGGUCAGAUGCAGAUCCAACUCUGGUACCCUCAGAGGGAAAGCUAUGGCCUUGCUGGGCUCUGAGAGGCAAUGGAACUGUCUCCUAAAUUCAUUCCAGGGUAGCACUUGAUGUAACAUCCUGAAGCAGAGGGUGUAGCAUAUGUCUUCCUGUGGUUCUCAGCAGAGCUAACCAGGUGCUUGCCUGUGUCACCUGCCAAGUCAGGUUUAGAGGAGACACCAGAGAGCAGGGCCAGAAGAACACAUAGUUGGUGUAACCUUUUGUACAUCAAGCCCAGUGAGCAGAGGACUAACUUAUUUUGGGCAAUGGAAUUGUGGACUUUCAUUUUCCUCUGAUACUUAUUCAUAGUGAGACCCUAGACAUGGAACCUAACAGCUCUGUAUCAGUUUCUUCUGAGUAAAAUGUUCAUCUUGUAGAGUAGAUGUGAGGAUUAGAUGACUAAAUACAAAGCUCUUGGCCCUUGAUCUUGCUGAGAGAAAUGAUUAGAAAAACAUUAUUUGAAAAGUAUUAUGUAUUAUGGGUAUCUUUGAAUGUAUCCCCACGUUCUAGAGGCUCAAUCCCCAUCACUAGUAUGGUAAGAGGUAAUGCUUAAGAGAGAUGAUGAGGUUGGUACUCUGCCUUCCUGGGAGCUUAAUGACCUUACCACAGGAGCGGGCUAAGUUAUCUUACCGGUGGGGUUGUGAAAGAACAUCUUAGCUGCCACCUCGCCCUCUCUCAAGAACUCUUUCAGUCUUUUAUCUUCUGCCAAGAAUGACAUAGGAAAAAAGGCCACCAAAUGUUGCUGCCUUCAUCUCAACCAUUCAAGGUUUCAGAAUUGCAAGAACUGAACUUCUUUUCUGUAUCUAUUACUCUGCUGUGUCAUUCACUCAAGUCACUGUUGUGACAAAAUACCUCCCAGGAAGCAACUUGAAGAAAUGCAGGAUAUAUUUACACUGAGGAGGUAUGUCCCAUCACGGCCAGGAAGACAGGGUGGCAUGAGCUAGCCAUAGUGUGUACUCCAUCAGGAGGCAGGGACUGAAGAGCAUCUCAGUCCGUGGAGUGGUACUUCCCAUAGUUAGUGUGAGUCUUCUCAUUUCAUUGAACUUAAUCUAGGAAAACACCCAAACAUGUUAACAUGUUGCUUUGAAAUCCUACAAAGUUAGCAAAUUAAAUUAACCCACUGGUAUGAUGGUUCCCUCUAUAAGGACACUUGCUGCCAAGGCUGACAACCUGAAUUGGUCAGGAACCCCCACAGUAGAGACAUAGGAAAGAGCUGACUCCAAGAUCUUGUCCUGUGACCUCUAUGCAUGCACACAGUAUGGCUAAUAUUCCAAACCAGCCUGUGAGUGAGAGUUAGAGAGCAUCAUGGGUUCCAGCCUAAGCCUACCCUGCUAUGCUCUGACUCCACUGCUGCAUGGAGCAAAUCAUCUGGGGACACUUAGCUGGUGGUGUCAGGUGGAAAGCAUUAGUGACAGAGGUUCUAGGGCCCUCUGUGGAGCUACAGUCUUAGAAAGAAAAGCCAACAGAUCAUAGCUGGCGGUAUCAGCAAGAAAAGGAGUGCUGCAGUUUUGAGGAGAAACUCUAAGAACCGAAUGAGGUUAUUGGUAGCUCAGAAUAAGUCACUCAAAGGACAGAGAUUCACUCAUUCCUAGUGCCGGGGCUGCAAGCUAAAGCCUGGAGGCUCUAGUGAGAAGGAAUGGCAACCCUGGGUUAAACGCUUCUGGAAGACUAAAUGCCUUUUCCUCUGAGGCUUGGAUAAUAACAUAGAAAUCUCUGACUUUCGUUGGCUGCCUACCCCCUCUGUGUAGCCCUCCAGACCUAAUGAUAAGGCACUGCUGAAGAAAGUGUACUUACUGACAGGCAGUGAAACAAAAUGGUUUCUAUGUGUAGUGGAGACACAAAGCCUCUUCAUGGGCAUGUAUGUUGGACUACCAGGUUCUUAAUGGUGGCUACACUUGGUGGGAUAGCCUGUACUCUUCCUUAAAUGCGCAGGGCUUUAUCAUGAGAUGUAAUACUAUGGGGUUUCUAUACGGUUUCUCUUGUUUGGCUUCUUAAGAUGACACAUGUCACAUUCUGUGUCAGAAAAGAAUACCAUACCUUAAUUGUUUAUUAUUUUUUAUGUGACAGUGUUUUGCUAUGCAGUUUGGUUAGCCAAGAACUUAUUAUAUAGCCCAGGCUGACCUUUUAUUUACAGUCUUCCUCUUGCCUCUGCCUCCUCAGUGCUGGAUUACAGAUAGGAGCCAAGACAUGUAUCUUUUAACAAAGCAAGCUAUCCAAGGAUCUAAUCUGGUUGAUCCUACUCUUUGCUGCUAGAGACUUUAAGGUGGUCACAAGUGACAGUUAUUGAUCACUCAUUCCCAACUCAUCUUGCUGUCUUGUGUCAGCCAAAUCCUCCAUUCAGAAUUCUUCCCUCUGGACAGGUUGGUUUGGAGUCUUUUCCCUCACUUCACUGCUCCCUCCCUCCCUGAAUAUUUUCCUUCUCCAUACUUAGCUGAAGCCUGUGGUUUGAAUGCUUGUCCUACUAUUCAGCUACAAGCUAGUCACACCCCAGACUUCCAACUUAGAUUCCACCGGCCCAAGAGAAAGACGGUUAUUCUCAUUUAGAACAAGGACUGUGUUUCAGAAAGAAUAACUCGCUUAUCCAAAUUACUAAGUAUUUGUUUUUGAUUCAGUGUCAUUUCCAGUAGAUCACAUUGCUAUUGCACACACUGACUACCAUUUCCUCAGGAGAUGAUCAGAGUGCAUUAGGGGCACAUUAGGGGUAUCCUGAGUGCCUCAUAUUUCAGAAACCUCAAAUUCUGCCCUUUCAGAUUGGAAAUGAGAAGAUCUAGGGAAAACAAUUCUCUGAGAAGUUUCCUGUAUACACAGAUCUUUCUGCCUCAUAGCAUAUUCAGCUGGAAGAGAUACAGGGGAGGUGUGGGUGUCUGACUAAUGAGAGAUCUAUGGAGGAUUUGUAUAUUGGAGCAGGUAGAUAUACCUAGAACCCUAGUUUAAGGCUCUGUGCUCAGAAGUUCAGACCUUUGCUUAGCAAAUUACUACCUUCCUAUGCCACAGUCUUCUGCUCUGUAAAAGGGAGCUUGUGACCCUGAACUGGUUGGAUGUGGUAAGGAGUAAGUGGGAUCAGGCUUGCAAAGCAUUUGGCAUGGUUCCUGAGUCAUUGUUCAGUGUUUGUGAAAUGCUGCCUCUUGUUACAGAUACAAUUAUUAUUUCCAGUAGGACCAGUAAGAAGGGAAUUCCUGGCAGUGGGCUCUGCUCCUUAGGAUCUACUUGGGCUAUUCCCAUGGUGUAACUGGACACUCCAUCACUCUGUGGCUGAAUUUGACUUGAGCACCUUUGAUUGAUUGGGACUAUUUGAAGCCAGGGAGCAAACAUGGCUCUAAUGGCACAAACAGUGAGCCUGCCAGGGGAGCAGGCUGGUGGCUCCAGAAAAGCUCUCCCUUGCAGGCCAGGAGUGCUGGUGACUUGGCCUAGGCAGGCAUCAGAGUUUAUCCCAGGACACCCUGAUAAUAUAACUGUACUUCCCACAGGAUUGGGUCUCUGCAAAAUUUAUUCACCUAAUCAUACAUCCUCCCUCCAAAGUGUAAUUCAGCAAGUUGCAUUAAGCAUUCCCUGUUCUCAAGCAUUGGGCUUUGCUUAUGUGCAAAGGAUCACAAACACAAGCUAUUUCAUUCACUUAUUCACUCAUUUACUCAUGCCUGCAAUAUAUAUUAAUCCAGAAUUUACCUUGUGUCAGCAUAGCCUCUGGCUUUUUGGAGUUUGGUAAAUUGGGAUUCUGUGCCAGCAGAGAAAGUCGGAGGGUCUCAGGUGAAGUGUGGAGAAAGUCCUAUUGUCAAAAUUACCUUGGCUAAAUGCCCACCGAAUGUUACCUGAGCCUGGAGUGAUGUGUGAGAUUCAAGCAGGAGAGAAUGAGGGAAGGGAAUUGUCACAGAAUAUCAUAGAGUGGGCCCAGUACUCAGAGAGUAAUGCUGUCAAGCCAUCUGUAGCUGGGGAAGACUUAACAGUGUCUUCCCCAGCAGACAUUCACUGGAAACUCUGUCACACUUGAUGAGUUCUUAUAUGCAGUGGUCAGUUUCCUCCAGGAACAGAUUAUGUUUUUAAAGCUCAAAAACAUUCAUUUUCAGGGUCAGAUGGUAUGUGUUUAAAUCUAUACCUUUAUCUUCUGUGUAAUCAUGAGCUAUCUACAGCUGAACAUUACUGUCUUAAUGAGUUAGCUAUUUUUCUAUUAGUAUGAAGAGACAUCAUGAUGACGACAGUUUUCAAAAGAAAGCAGUGAAUUAGGUAUUUACAGUGACAGAAAGUAAGUUUGUGAUCAUAAUCAUGUAACAUGGCAGCAAGUAAGCAGACAUGAUGUUGGAGCAAUAGCAGAGAGCUUACAUUUUGAAAUAAUAACCAUAGGCAGUGGGAAGGGGAGGGAAAAGAAAGAGGAGGAGGGAGGUGCAAAUACUAACUAGGAAUGGUAUAGGCUUUCAAAACCUCCAAGCCUACUCCCAGUGACAUACCUCAUCCAACUAGGCCACACCUCGUAAUCCUUUUCAAAUAGUUCCAUCAACUGUGAACCACAUAUUCAAAUAUAUUAUCUUGUAGGGGCUAUUCUCACUCAGAUCUCCAGUUACAGGCGAUUGUCCUUAAAAGUAGAUAGUUAAAAUGUUAUAGUUAUGUGUGUUUGGGCUUGUUAUUUACUUUGUAUUUUGAGUUAUAACCUAAUGUAAUAACUCUUACAUGAUUUAUCUUAUUGUUUAGACUAUUUUAGUUAUGUGGCUGUUGGUUCUGGUGUUGCUUUCAUUUGUGUCCUUUAAUGCACCAUCCUUGGCCUCUUCCUCUUUUUCUUUCCACUCACUUCCCACCCCCAAUCACCUGACUUUCUUUUGAAACUCUAGGUUCAUCUUCACAGUCUCUGCUCUGCUACUUCUAUCAGUUAUUGCUUCAGGGGUUUCCUUUAACUGAACCUUAGCAUUAAAGAUGAAGGUCUGGUUGGUUAGUGAGCCCAGCACUGUUGAGAGAGAGUGCUUCUAGAAAAGCUCCAGUGCGGAAGAAUUCCAGAAAAUUUAUGAGGGGACUCUCCCUCUGGGAGGUAGAAGAGCAUAAAGUACAACUCAGUAAGCGUGAGAUAUUCAUAGUAACUUACUUCCAAUUAACCCAGCAGGAAAUAGGAACAGCCUCCCAGAGGAAAAAAUCCCCUGACAGGAGCAACCCCUGGCAGGUGUUCACAGUGAGCAUCGGCAGUCAGUCAUGCUAAUAGCACAUGCCAUGUAAUGAGAACAACCUUUAUUUUACCUCCCAGUACCUUAAACCCCGGUCUUAUAAUCAGGAGAAUACCCUGCAGCCCCAACUUGAGAAACAUACAAACUGCCUGACCUAACCUCAAAGCUGCCAAGAUUAUAAAUCACAAGCAAAGGGUGAAGAGCUGUUAUAAGAGGCAGAAUCCUAAAGGAAUAUGGUGACCAAUCAUAAUGGAUGCGCACUAGAAUCCUGUAGUAGAAAGGGAAGUAUUGUAAUUUGGUGAAGUCUACAGAAACAGAUCUUUAGCUGGUAAUAAUAUACAUGAGUAUAACCCAUUAGCAAUGACAGAUAAUAAACCUUAGCAAUGUAAUAUGACAAUAGGGGAAGCGUUGGGGGUCGGUACUAGAGAGCGACUUGCUAUGCUGUUACCCCAAGUUUUCUGUAAAUGUAAUACUAUUCUAACCAAAAUUUCAACACUGUUAUCAUUACUUACUGUUUACAAGUCCCCUGUGAAAGCAAGUAUGCCCCCCCCCGUGCCCUUCUGAGGAGGUAGAACUGAUUUAUUAUUCCUUUUAUUUUGUUAUUUUUCUAAACAUUUUAAAAGUUUUUUUAUUUAGUCUUAUUUUGUGUGUAUGUCUGUUUUGCUGGCACGUGUCUCUGUACCACAUGUCCCCACUGGCCACAGAGACCAGAUGAGGGAGUCUUCUCUCUGGAACUGGUGUUAGAUGAUUAUAAGCUGUUGUGAGGAUUUUGAGAACCAAACUCAGGUCCUCUGCAACAGCAACCAAUGCUCUUAACUGUCUAGCCAUCUCCCCCACCCUAAAAGGAUUUACUUUUAAUUAUGCAUGCGUGUAUGUCUGUAUGUGGGUAUUUGCAUGUGAGUGCAGUGUUAUGGAUCCCUCAGAUGUCCUGGAACUGCACUUACACAUGGUCGUAAGCUGCGGGUGCUGAGGGCUGAAUUCAGUUCCUCUGCCAGAGCUGUGUGUGCUCUCAAUCACUGAGCCAUCACCAGCCCCUUGCCUUUUCUUUUAAAUGGUUCAAUAGUCUCCUCAGGCAAACUCAGGAUCCAGGUAGCUGAUUUCAAAAUGGGGUAUUUUUCUUAACACCUACCGUGUAGUGUACUCAGUUGUUUGCUCUGAUGCUCUGGGAGUUCUGAUUCUUGACCAUUCUGGGAAAGGCGGAGCUCCUGGGAGCAUGCAGCUUCAUGCAGAGCACAGCGGCACCUGAAUCUCUUUCCUUCUGGGAAGGGACCUGGGAGAAAGGCAUUAGUAGAAAGUAAGUGAUGACCUUUCUGCUCUGGGUCUUCCAGAAGUGCUUGUAAAACUCAGCAAGUGCUGGUGCCUUGAACAUAGCCCAGUCAUCCUCUUCAUUCUCUGAUUUCCUCUUUGAGCCUUUCCUGGCAGGCACUAGGGGUUUAAAGAAAAUCACUGGAGGAAAUUGUUUUGCAGUUGGAAAGAAAAGACCCAUCUAGUGGCUUAAUUUGCUGUGCAUAUUAAAGUUAGAGUUACUAUGAUUUUUUCGAUUCAGUUUAAGAUUUUAAAAGCUGGGGCUGUAUCUUACUUUGACAAGUGCUGCCAGUAGGUGAAAUGUUGGACAAUUCAGUCGCAGAGUAAAAUGUGUGAAUGACUUAAUUUAAUAGGGAGAAGCCUUGAGCUAGCUCUUUAAGCACCAGUGUUCUUCUAGAGUUCAAUUCCAGGACUUUUCAAGGCCAAAUAUGAGGUCAUAUAAUCAUGUUAAGGGAAGAAAGUGUGAUGCUAAUAUAAGAAAUAACCAUGGAUCAAUAUGAUCAAUGUACAAGGGAAAACAAUCCAUGUAUCAUUAACUGCCACCCGUAAUAGUGGUUACGAGAUGAGCUCAGGCUUUGUGUGAUGUGACCUCAGUCUGAGGCACAGUGAUACUUGUUUCUUUUAUUUGUUUCCUCUCUGCUAUCUCUCUCCUCUUUUUAAAAAUCUCUCUGACCUGCUUUUAAUAGGUAUCUAGUACUUCAAGAUGUAUAGCUCUAAUAGAAAAAUAAGGAGUAAUUUAAAAAUAUUUUUUAUCAAGCUACCAUAGUGAUUUCAAAUUUCCAAAUAUGAAAUUAGAGUCCAGUCUCAAUUAUAAAUAUGAAAUAGACUUCGAAAAUAAUAUGUCAGCAAAAGAUCACAUCAGUACAUUAAAAGAAACUUCCAGUGAUCCAAUGGAAUUUCUUCUGGGACAUAACAAUAGGUGAUCUGUAACAUUUUUCUGUAAUUAGUAAAUUAGUCUAUGGAAAACAAACAUAUGCUCAUCUUGAUAGAUACUGAAGUUCCAUUCAGCAAAAUUCAAUAUCUAUCCAUUGAAAGUUUUCUUAGUAAAAUUAGCAUUGAUUUAUACUCUUUUAUUUGUAAAUAUAUAUUGCCUUAAUUCAAAAUCCAGGCUUGGCAAGAUGGCUCAGCAGGUAAAGGUACUUUCUGCCAAGCCUGAUGAUCUAAGUUCAAUACCUGGGACCCACAUGGUGGAAGGAGAGAACCAAUAUCAGCAAAUUGUCUUCUGACCCUAACCAUGUACAGCCUAUCUAUCAUGUGUCCAUGAACACAUAUAUCCUAUAUAUACACACAAUAAAUGGGUGAAUAAAUGUAUUUUUAUUUAUUGAUAUUAUAUCCAGAUCCCUGCACUCCCCAUCCCUGGACAGUCCCUCUGCCCAUCCCUUCCACUUCUCCUCUGAGAGAGUAGGCCCCACCUUGGGUAUUCACCAACCCUGGAACAUCAAGUCUCUACAGGGCUAGGUGCUUCUUCUCCCCCUGAGACCAUACAAGGCAGUCAAGCUUUAGGAGAAAGAUUUUCACAGACAGGCAACAGCCUUAAGGAUAGCCCCUCCUACUCCAGUUGUUCGGGAUCCACAUGAAGACCAAGCUAUACCAAAGGGAGUGUCCAGCCUGUGCAUGCUCUUUGGUUAGUAGUUCAGUAUCUGAGAGCAUCCAAGGGUUGAGAUUGGUUGACUCUCUUGGUCUUUCUGUGGAGUUCCUAACCCCUGAGGGACCCUCAAUCCUUACCACCAACUCUUCCAUAAGGAAGAUGGGGGUUUUUUUGUUUGUUUGUUUGUGUGUUUUGUUUCGCUUUUGCUGAAUGAAACUUUAGUGUUUAUCAAGAUGAGCAUAUGCUUGUUUUCCAUAAACUAAUUUACUUAAAUGAAAAAUGUUAUAGAUCACUUAAUGUUCUGUCCCAGAACAAACUCCAAAGCUCAAGCUCCAUCCAGUGUUUGGACGUUGGUCUUUGCAUCUGUUUAAUUCAGAGGCUAGGUGAAGCCUCUCAGAGAGGAGCCAUGCUAGACUCCUCUCUUCAAGCAUAACAGAGUAUUAUUAAUAGUGUUGGGGAUUGGUGUUUGUUUAUAGUGAGGUAACGCAGACCCAAAAGGACAUGCAUACUAUGUACUCAUAUGUGAAUAUUAACUGUAAGAUAUAGGAUACCCAUCCUACACAGCCCCCAAAGAAGCUAAACAAGAAGCAAGGCCCAAGUGAGAUUGUUUGAAUUUCACUUAGAAGGUCAAAUAAAAUUGUAGUAGGAGGAAGAUGAAGUGGGGAAUUGGGUGGGAGAGGAGAUAGGGAAAGGAACAGGAGGUGUAGGAUCAGGUGUAGCAAGUAGCAAGGGAGAUACCUAGAUGGCUGUGAAUAUGAAUGGAAAUCUGCUGCUGGCAGCAGUGGGGAGCAUCUUGAGUACAUGCCAGAGACCAGGGAUAGGGCGGCUCUCAAGAAUCAAUGGGAGUGACCUUAGCUCUGACCCACAGCAUUGGGAAUAUAGAAACUGAAGAGGUCAUCUCCUGUAGCUAGGGAGGAACCCCAGUGGUGCAACAGGGACACCAACCUACCCCCACAAUUUUUGACCCAAAAUUUAUCCUGUCUACAAGAAAUGCAGGGGCAGGGGAUGAAACAGAGACUGAAGGAAUAGCCAAGCAAUAGCUGGCCUAACUCAUGAGCAAGCACCAAACUCUGAUUCUUCUAAUGACUAAAGGUAAUUUUAAAGUAACCAGUAUCACGCUUACUGAGAAAAUAAGCUACUCCAUUAAAGAGGAAUGAGAGGCAAAUUCGCCCACCAUGCACACUGGUAUUUGACAUUAUGCUGGAGACAGUAGCAAAUGUGAAUUUGAUAUAGUGAGGACUUGGAGGUGUGAAAUUAGUAAAGAAGUGAUAAAAAGCCAUUUCUAACUUAGGUCAUAUAAUGGCUAGACAAUUUGGACCAAGUGAAUAUAUUACUGAGAAAUUCAGUAAGGUGGUUAGUCUUAACUAAACAAACUAUUUUUUCUUUUAAGUUGGUGGUUUUUUUUAUCAAAGCAGCAGGGAAACAAACUAAGAGAUCAAGGUACAGAUAUGCAGAAUUCAACACACAAAUAACAGUGGAGCAGAAAGCCCAUUGGUCGUAAUAAUAUAACAUUAAAGUACCUACAAAUAACUCUUAGUGAAAAUGUGUAAGAGCUUUAUGAAGAAAACAAACAUCAAAAUACUCUAAAAAUAGGCAACAAAGGCUCUUAGCAAAUGGGAGGGCUUGACAGGCCUUAAUUAAGAAGCUUAGUAGUGUUUACUGCAUUUAUAUUCACUUAUAAAAUUAACCAAAAUUAACAGACUAUAAACAUAGCAGAACUUAAACUAGACAGUAGGUGCAUAUACUGAAUGGAUACUGUUUUUUCAGAUUUUGCUACUUACUCCCACGACAAACCACCAGGCACAUGGCAAUACCAUUACUACAUCCAUGGAAAUAAAUGGGAGCAGUGAGAGAGGGGCUUGCUUCCCAUUGCACACAGCUUCAAAGUGGCAGCACCAGCCUGAAGCUCAGGCAAUCUACUUCCAGUGUCUCCUUCUCUUUCAACCAUGAUCUACAUGUGGAGUAACUAGAAGCAGGUAGUGUGAUUGGGUAUCUGCACUCCUACCCUUUUCUAAUAGGUAGACUAGAGAACGUGCCUGAGAUUGUUGAAGAAUUAAACUGGUUCGGAAAACAAUAUACGGUCCUAGUGCCAAGUACAGAGUAGGUAUCCAGCAAAUGAUAGCUCCUUGGAGCUCAAUGAAAAAAGUACUUAACAUUUUCUCAUUGGUUUGUUCAACAUAACUUAUUAUGCCUUUAGAGAGUGCAAGGCUUCAUGCUUGGCUCUUGGUAUAAAAAACUGUAAUGAAUACUAAAUAAAUGAGUGAAUAAAUAGAAUAAAAAAAACUAAGCAGCAAAAUACAACACAAAAGCAGUCCCAAGACUAUGUGAGUAGCGUUGAUAUUGAUAUUCUAUGUCACCAGAUAAAGGUGGAGAGUAGGAGACAGCCACUUCCAAGUGUUAUGUUUUGAUCAACACUCAGCCUUCUUUAUCCUUAAAAGAAAAAUGAUUAUAUAUCUACUUUACUUGAGUAAUGCAUCAGAGUUGUUAAUCUAUGGUAAAUAGCAAUAGUUAACGGUCAUAAUAAUAAUGCCAGCAUUGGCAUCACCAUAUACUGACCCUGGCAUGUCAGUUAUAUGUCCGUUUGUCCAUCCUUCCACUAAAUUCAUAUACAAGUACAUACAUUACAGAUAAACACUGUGAGGAACUGUCCCAGGUCCUGACCACAUCAGGAGUCAAACACAUUUGUAUCUUCCCUUCUGUAAUUUAUGGAAAGACAUUGAUGACCCUCCCUCCUCAGAUAGGCUCUCACAUUGUCAUCUUUUGGGAAUCCUGGAAAAGGAGCCAAAUGGCCUCCUUCCAGGAUACUAAGGAACAAUUUAAUGGAGAAGGCUUAGGUAAGCCAUAUUACAUAGUGAGGCAAUGAACUAUCAGUCAUAUACCUAGGUUACCAAAACUUGCAUCUGAAGACUAAGGCAGCCCCCUCCUGCCAAAGGUAAUUUCUUUCUUAAAUAGUUCAAGUUCAUCUCUUCUAGCAUUGCCUUUUACAAUUCUAACCACAUCCUGUGCCAUCCUCUGCAUUCUACCUACCCUGAAAUGUUUUAAUUCAACUUUUGCAUUAUGUCUGAUGUGAUGAAUUAAAGCCACAAAUUCAUUGACUAGGUGUCAGGGAAGAUGGAUUGAGGACGUGAAACAAACACCAUUUGGGGACAAGGGUUUGCUGUGACUAUCAGGGUCACAGUGAGGAGGUAAAUUUAUGUUGCUCCUGGUGAGGAGCAAUGCACAAACUUCAAUGUCAUACACAAGCAUAUUUUUUAAAGAAGAGAGAAUUGUAUGUAAAUUUACAUUCUUUGAGAAACUCAAGUCCUAAACAAAGUCAAUUAGGAAUAAAGUGUGAUAUUCCAGCUUGGGAUUCACCAGUUUUUAACAUGAAGUUGGCACUCAGAAAUGAAAAAAAAACAGGCAAUGUGAAUGGGAGCCAGUGUAACUUGAAGGUGCUGAGGGAUCCAGUCACAAAACUUGGUUUUUAAAAGCAAAUGAGUUGAUGAUGGGAGUCUUCUGGAUCCACUGUUAGGUGCUACAUCUGUGGGCUAAAAGUCCAAGGUAGAGGACAACUAAGUACAGCAACAUCAGGUCACCCUGGGUCAGUACCUGGUGAGGUGUGGAUAUGGACCUAUGAAAUCUGCUUUGCAGACCCUUUGAAUCUUUACUCUGUGGCUAUAUAGGUACCCAGUCUGCUUCCCACACCUCUUCCACUCUUAACACACCACCACAUGGCCUGCUAGUGUUUUCCAAAUACAUUCCAAAAAGCAUUACUGGUUUAUGGGGAAAAGGCAUAAUGUCAAAAUAGUUAGGGAAAUGUUUGUCCAUCAUUAAAAGAGCUACCUUAUUCAGUAGCUCUGAGAAAUCCAGCUCAUAGCAUAGAUUUUACCUCAAUGAAGCUUUCCCCAAAUCCUCUUGCUGUCUGAUAGUCUUUUGGGAUUUACAAUGUAUCCAGUAAUAUUCUUUGGAACUACAGUUACCCUUUGAGGAAAUAGUGCUCAAUAGUCAAGGAUGCUCAAUGAACACAUCUUAAAGUAUUGGCUCUCCUUUAAGUACCUAGAUUCUCUAAGCAAGGGGCUGGCUGCUGAAUCUAGUUAUUCACACCUAUACCCUCCCUUUGCCCGACAUGGUCAUAGAAGUCAGAGAGUUUUUGUUAUCUCUUUAUGAGACUUAAUUUUUCCCAUGUUCACAGCUUCUUUAUUAAUGAAAUCUUUGUCUGGUUAAUUUCCCUAUGUCCUGCUUCCCUUUAGUCACAGAAGUCUGGAUUUAUAUGUCCUUACAUGUGUAAAAUCCUCAUGCAUCUCUUUAAGAUGAUCACUGCAGCACUGGCCCCUUGUGUCUGCUUACCUCAGCCCUCACACAUUUUAUUUCUUCUUUUUCAUAUUCUCUCUCUUUCUCCCUGGCCAGUCCCUUGUCCCCAAUCCACUCUAACUCACAUGGUCUGCCUUGAGAUGUCCAGGUCUCUUAGUGGCUAAUCCAAUCCAGCCAGGCCAUCUGAAGUUCACUCAAGAGUAGGCACUCAUCACAGGCUCCUGGGAGAGCAUAGCCCAGCAUGUCAUUAUCUUCUUGUUUGUUUGAUCAUUGAUUUUCCCAACUGACCUGAACUUUUCAAGGACACAGCUUUUGUUUAUUCCUUUCUGCUUCUACUGGAACUGGUUGGUUGGAGCUAAGGAGCUGUUUACAAAUGACUUGGCAAAGUAUAAUUUUGGCAGGUCCUUAAAGCAAGGCUUGAAUAUGUAUAAGUGGCAGAGGAUGUAGAGGUCACACGAAGGUGACCUCCUGAGCAGACAGAAGAUACUGUGCUUGAAACGUUCUGGUAGAAUUGAGCUGAGAUACAAAAAAGUCACCUGUCACUUUUGAGCACAUUUUGAAGCUUAUUUUUCUAGUGAAAAAUUGAUAGUAAUUAGUCCUUAUGAAAUAUUUCAAGAUAGAAAAAGAUUGAUAAAGGAAACUGUCCAAGGAACAGCAGUAUGCACUCGUUGCUAAGACUGAGGACCUGAAUUCAAACCUCAGGACCCACAUGUUGGAAGAAGAGAACUGACACCAGCAAGUUGCCCUUUUGUGCCCUCUACACAAAAUAAAUACAUGUAAGAAAACUACCCCAGACACCCACCAAUGUAAGGCAUUGCUAGCAUGUUAAGAGACUUCUAAACCCUUUUUUUCUCAGAUUUUCAUCAGACAAUUCAAAGCAUUGCUCACCUCCUUUACAUAAAACAUCAAUAUUUUAUAAUGUAAUUGUUUAGUAUUUAUAUCAUGGUUAUGUUAACAUAUUGGGAAGAAGUGAUUGCAUUCAACUCUACAUUAUUAUAAGUACUUCUGUAAAACUACUGGGCCUGUGGUCCUGACUCACACAUAUGAAUGGAUAAUUUAAUGUUCUAAAUAUAGCUUCCCUGAGAUAAUUUCUAAAAUGUAAUUACCAGCAUGUUCUUUCUUUCCUAAUCAUUGAGAGUCCUGUUCUUCUGCCCCCCUGACUCCUCUGAUUUUGUAGAAGAGAAAAAAAAUGAAUUCCAACUGCAUUUCUUUGAUUUCUGUCCAUGCUGGCUAUUUUGGGAAUAUCACUUAUGCUAACCUCUCAGUUUCUUCUUAUUUUAAGUGAUCUAUCUCUUCUCUGUUGUUUUUCUAUCAGAGACAUUUCCACAAGCAGUCAUCUCAUAUUCUGUUAAGAUUUACUAUCCUAAGACACUAUCAGAAAUGAACCAUAGGACAUCACCAAGACAUUCAGAGGACAAAGGAUAAAGUACUGCUUUAAAGAAGAUUAGCAUGUAAGAAGCCAUAUCAGAGAAAGAGCUCUCUGAUUUGAGGCCACUAAAUGUGACCACAGUAGGUGGGUUCUGCUGAGGGAUGUGGAUGUAAGGGCUGUGGUGGUUUAUCCAACACAAGUCAAAGAGUCUUGACUAUGCUUUAAUAUGGCUCCCCCUGGAGCAGCUUUACUUAUGAUCAGAUCCAUUGACAUCUGAUAGAUUUCUAUCCCCCAAGUCAGUCUCUGUAAAUAUGGAUUGACUUGCUAUUUUUGACUCUGGAUAAGUGAAUCCGUGGUAAACUGGCCAUAGACUAGGAUGUGCGGGGCUCACAUUGGUUACCAGAUGAACGUGUACAUGCUGGAAAACUAGUGAGGUGCUUUUGAGGAACUGAAAAAUAGCAUCUGUACCUUGGUCAAAAUGAUGACAUAAUCUGAAGUCCCAUGAAAAUAUUAUAAUGAAUGUCAGAGCUGCAAAGCUAGAGCCAGGCCAUUGCUCAUUUCCUUACCUUAACUCACAGGGGUAUUGCUCUGUGCCCAGUAGUAUCUGUGCCUUAAAAGACAAAAUAUCUGAGUUCCUUCCUUCAUGACACUCAGGAACAGAGGAGAAAAUAAAAUACUAGACAAGAGGCAUUUGGACUCAGAAAACUAUUGAUGAGGAAGGAAGUGGAAAGAGGCAGGAUGAGGGAGAAACAGAGCUGUCAUAGACAACCUGGACACUACCAGCUCCUCAAGUGAAUCUGAAGUCUUCUGGAAGCAGGAAAUGGGUCAAAGAUGAGCAAGACCUGGGAUCUCCUCCGAAUAUGUCUGAAGUUUCGAAUACAGCCUUUUAGUCACCACACUAGAAGUUCUUCAACACUCUGCAUGUACCAGGCAGUGUGGCUACACUGAUUAUUGAAAGGUCUCAGCCUGCAUGGAGCCUACCUUGUGAUGGAAGAUGAUACAGUUACUGCUUUAUGCCAUAGAACAAAGUAGAGUAAGUGUUCUAAGGAAGCAUGAGGGAGUUGUGCAGAUACAUAAACAGAGAGGGUAACAUGGCUUGUUCCAAACACAAGAACGAAGCCAGAUACAUUAAAGUAUAUUGCAGCAGGAAUGAGAGAAGUAAAGUAGUCAGAUAGGCACUAAGAGACCAGUUUGCUAGAGCUUUGUCGGCCAUGGGAAGGAAAACUUCAUUCCUUAGCUUAUAUAAAUAAAAGAGAUCUAUCAUUAACCAGGGUUUGCUUCAGUGUUGAGUCCAUGCUCAGCUCUAAGAAGGUAAGCCUGUGUCCAAAUGUGGGUACAGGAGGGUAGAUUCAAGUCAAAUGUCAUGUAAGAACAAGCAGGGAGAAGGUAGGAACCAGGAGCCACACACUUUCGUAGUGAGUGGGGUGAAAUAAACCUGUUUAUCUUCCUGGUGUGUUGAGGAGAGCUAUUAACAAGAUCAAAGGACACUGUGUGCUUUUAACUAGUCAUGUUGCUGUAGCCAAGUGUGUCUCCAAACCUCCUUACCUGAGUAGGUGAUCACAUGGUAUGUAUUCAGCCCUUCAUUGUAAACUGUUUAGAACUCUACUAACCUUCAAUACCACAGUAUCCAAGCAGCACCUUACAGUUGCACAGAACAGAGGAGGCAGAGAGGAAGUUCAGUCUUUCUCUUGAGACCUCAGCAGGAAGCAAGAACUUACACAGUGCUCCAAGGAUGGCAAACCUGUCAGAAACCAAGGGUAUUAGACCACAUACCAAGACGAAGGGAGUUAUCAAAGUUGUAGUGAUUCAAUUAUGAAAUAUAGAUCGAUGAGCAAGGUAUCUCUGAUCGUGAUAAAAGAUGAAACAUUUCUGGUAUCAAGAAUAAGGAUUUCCAUGUUUUUUAUGAUGCAUUAUUUGUAGUAAUAUCCUAUUUCUAUUUAAUCAGCAUGCUAUAUGUUACUUCAACAUCUUAUUUGGAUCUCUGUGAUACUGUAUUGUUACCACUCAGCAUACAGAGAAAUGGAAUGUGGAAAAGUCAGCUCUUGUUGAGAAGCAGAACAUAUCCAUAAAGAUUCGGGUAUUACCUCAGGAUCCAUCCAUUCUCUUAGACGGUCAUCCAUUUUUUCUGAAUGACUCUAGUUUGUGCCGGCAAACUCACUACCUCUUCCUGAAAAACUCUACGUCAACUCACCAACCCCCCCCCCCAAAUCAGACAAGUCUGUCAUUCUUAGGCUGAUCAGGAGGUGAUAAUGAAUAUAAAAGUUUUGAGUUGUGAGGAAACUGAUAUAUCUCAGGGCCACAUAACACAUGCAUUUUCUUUGAUAAUCUAUCCUCUGGAUGGAGUUGGCUUACCAAAAGAUGAGUUAUGGAAUGAUGAUAAAAGCUCCCUUUGAGAAGAUGCUGAGCAAUUCUCAUGCUGUUGACUUAGACAAAACUGUGUGAGCUCCCUGUAGAGCCAGGCAAUACAGGUGACUCCCAAAGAAUUCCAAGGUGAAGUAAGUUCCUUCUCUGUUAGGCCUCAGAGAAUGCAUUUCUUAGAUGCAACUUGCAAAUUGCAGCUUCAUAUAAAAUGUUUCUGGAAAUAAAUCAUCUGAUUCUCCUUCAUUCUCAAGUGCGAGAUACUUCAUGUGAGGAACUGAAGACAAGAGAUUAUUAGACCAAUGCACUUGCUUUACCAACAUCCACGAUGACUUUUCUAAUGGCAGGCUCUAUAGUUGUACUAAGAAUUUUCUGUUGUCUUUUUUUCCCUCAAGAGAGUUUGAUGAGGGGAAGGAGAUACAGACAUUUAUACACACUACAAGGAAACUUGGUGAAGUACUCAGAAAGGAGCAACUCUAACGUAGUGAUGCUUCAGAAAGGCUGAGAGGAGAGGGUGGAGAUAUGUAUGCAUGUGGUAUGUAUGUAUGCAUGGGUAUAUGGAUGGAAGACAUAAAUUAAUGGUUCAGGAAGGAAAAUAAAGCAUGCUUAUGGCACAUAGAACUUAAGGGAGAAAGCACAAAGGCUUUACAGGGAAGACACAAAAAUAGGGUAGGUGAUUGAAGAAUAGGCAAAGGACAAAGGUCAUGUUUGGUUGGAAGAGGAGCAACCAGAGGUUGAGAUAGACCAAUGGGGAUGAGGCUUAUCAUGAAAUCCUUCACUAUUUUGAACAUUAUUUGUAGUCCCAUAGACUUCAAAUAAGGGAGAUACCGUUAAGAAGAUGAUAGAAGUGACAGGCUAGAGAUACAGGCCUCCUGGAGGAUGUGAAAAGAUAAGGUUGGGACAAAAGAUGUCUUCAGUUCUCUUGUCUCCAUUACUUUGGUUGAAGCUUCUUAGAUCAGCUCAUAGUCACAGCAUUACUGCGGGUGGCUUGACUUAUGCAAAGAAGCAAAUGACCCUAGAGUAGGCUGCUGUCUUUUUAUAGAGCUACUUCUAGAAGGUUCUGUAAACAACUCCAGUAGUCUCAGGGGACAUUAGGUCUUUUUCCUACACACCCCCACUCUUAUCUGCUUGCACCCCCUACCAGUUUUCACACCCCUGCAUCUUGUAUCCCCUCCCAGGUGAACCCCUUGUGCCCUUUGCUUAGAUUCUACUUUGGGGAAAGCCCAAACUAAGACAGAUAAAGAAUCAAGUGGAUGUUAUUUUGUUUUAAGUCAAGUGAAUCUCACGCCAGAUGGUCUGAUCAGAGGAACAACAUGGUAUUCUUUGGCUCAUUUAAAAAGGAUGAUUUUCAAGAUAUUCCUGGACCUCAUAGGGAAAGUGACUCGACUCCCAGAAUUCCUAGUUCUUUAAUUGUUAUCAUUCAUAAUGCUUUAUUCUUUCAUAAGCCACAGGACUAUGAAAGCUCAAGGCUUGCACAUGUUUUAAAGGACAUCUAAUUCAAUAUAAAACUCAGACUUAAAUUGCCUCUGUAGCAUUUCUGUCAUCUGGCCAUCUCCUCUGUUCUUUUCUGUUUUGUUUUAUAAAUAUCUUUUAAUGAGGAACUCACUUCCUCUCAGACAAACCAUCCCAUUUCUGGCACAACAAUGAACACAACCAAUUCAAUGAGUAUUAAUUUAGUAUCUACUAAGAGUCAGACAUUGGAGUUUUGAGAGAAGAAUUAAUCACAGUCUUCAACAUGUAUCUUGCAGCAGUUAAGAAACAAUACAGCAGUCAGAUUGGCUCAUGUAACUAUCAGCUUGGUACAUCUGGAACCAGGUCUUUCCUUCAAAGCCAAUGCCUUCUUUGCUUUUUUUCAAUCUAGAAUAUAGGCCAUUCAUAAAAGAAAGAGAAGCCUACAAAUCGAGCAUAUAUCCAGCCAAAUCCUUGGAAGCCCAGAGUCUAACUGGCAGCUCUGAUGCUCAGAUAACCUAGAUACCAAAACUAGGGAGAUACAUGAAUGUGUGGUCCCUUUUUAAAAAUUUUUUAUUAUAUAUUUCUUUACUUACAUUUCAAAAGUUAUUCCCCUUCUCGGUUUCCUAUCCAUAAGCCCCCAUUCCUUCCCCUCCCCCCAUAUGGGUAUUCCCCCUAUACAUCCCCCUUAUUGCCCUCCCCCUUAUUCCCCUGCACUGGUGGUCCAACCUUGGCAAGACCAAGGGCUUUUCCUUGCACUGGUGCCCGAACAAGGCUAUUCUCUGCUACAUAUGCAGUUGGAGCCCUGGGUCAGUCCAUGUAUAGUCUUUCGGUAGGGGUUUAGUCCCUGGAACCUCUGGUUGGUUGGCAUUAUUGUUUUUAUGGAGUUGCAAGCUCCUUCAACUCUUUCAAUACUUCCUCUAAUUCCCCCAAAGGGGGUCCUAUUCUCAGUUAGGUGGUUUGCUGCUAGCAUUGACCUUUAUAUUGGACAUGCUCUAGAUGUGUCUCUCAGGAGAGAUCUAUAUCUGGCCCCUUUCUGCAGGCAUUUUUUAGCUUCAUCAAUCUUAUCUAGUUUUGGUGGCUGUAUAUAUAUAUAUAUAUAUAUAUAUAUAUAUAUAUAUAUAUAUAUAUGGGCCACAUGUGUGUCAGGCUCUGAAUGGCCAUUCCUUGAGUCGCUAGUCUAAACUUUGCUUCCAUAUCCCCUCCUAUGAAUAUUUUUCCCUCUUUUAAGAAGGAAUAGGAGCAUCUGCAUUUUGGUCAUCCUUCUUCUUGAGCUUCCUGUGGUCUGUAGUUUGCAUCUUGGGUAAUUUGAGCUUUUUGGCUAAUGUCCACUUAUCAAUGAGUGCAUACCAAGUGUUUUUCUGUGAUUGAGUAACCUCACUCAGGAUAUGUUCUAAUUCAUUCCAUUUGCCUAUGAAUUUCAUGAAGUCAUUGUUUUUGAUAACUGAGUAGUACUCCAUUGUGUAGAUGUACCACGUUUUUUGAAUCUAUUCCUCUGUUGAAGAUCAUAUGGGUUCUUUCCAGUUUCUGGCUAUUAUAAAAAAGGCCGCUAUGAACACAGUGGAGCAUGUGUCUUUGUUAUAUGUUGGAGCAUCUUUUGGGUAUAUGCCCAAGAGAGGUACAGCUGUGUCCUCGGGUAUUGUAAUGUCCAAUUUUCUGCCUUAAAGCAUUAUCCUGAGGCUGGAGAGAUGACUCAGCAGUUAAGAGUGCCUACUUCCUUUGCAGAGGGACAGAGCUCGCAUGCAAGCACCCUCACAGAAGCAGGGGCAGAGAGCAUGAAUAGGGGGUUUCUGGAGGGGAAACAGAGAAACAGGAUAACAUUUGAAAUGCAAAUAAAUAAAAUAUCCAUUAAAAAAAAGGACAGUGAUGUUGCUUUGAUCAAUACCCUAUAUGCAGCACAACUCUCCAGGACAGAGAACUAUCUAAUUCUAAAUUUCAAAAGGACAGAGAUCUCCAAACACUUGUUGCACCAAAACUUUCUUCUACAUCUUAUAGAAGUAGAAAAUGCGACCUCCCAGACUUAACACAAUAGCCCAAAGCUUACAAUUAGGGAGCCCUAAGAUAGAAUCAGGGUGGCCUUCCCCCAAAAGCAUCUCCUCUAUUAGGAUACCUGAGAACUCUCCCUAAGAGAUGUCAGUCAGAGGAGAGAGAUAAAAGAAAAUCUUAGAAGCCAAUCCUGGGCUGCCAGAUACAAGGUAUACCUGAGGGGAAGUGCACUGUCUUGUGUGACCUCAUGAACUCUCCUUACAGUCUUUGGGCCAAUUUCCCCAUCAGGAAAGAUCAGAGCUAAAGUAUAUGCCCGGGGCCAAAGCUGCCUAGGUUGUAGGAGGGGCUGGUGAAUGGGGCUAAGACAGCAGUGAGAUGAGCCAUGGUACUGUGUAUUCUAUGUAUCAGCACAUUCAAUAGGACAAAAAUAUGUGUUGUGAAUGUGUGCAGAUCUCACAUAGAGUACAUGUAUAUGUAUGUGUAUAGUGUGUGCUUAUGUGCAUGUAAGUAGACAUGCAUUUGUACAGUGGAUAUCUGCAUAUAUAUAUAUAUAUAUAUUCUUUGUUAUAUGUACAUAUAUAUCGUUCAUGCCCAUUUGCUUUCUCACUAUAGUAGUUAAGAUGCAGGCCCUAGAACCAGAACUUAAUCCUGGUCCUACCACUUUCUUGGUGUUCAUCAGGGAAGCCAUUUACCUUGUCUGUGCUUCUGUGACAAAUACUAAAUAAGGCCAAUAAACUGAAGUCUUUGGCAUGUUGCAAUUUUUAAAGCAAUUAUUAUACCCAGAAAAUAGCAGUGUUUGAAAGUUAAAGGGGUUUGUGGGUUUGUUUGAUAAACUCCAAUUUAUAAGAGGUUAGGCUAGAUUCAGUGCAAGCUGCUGCCCCAGGCAAGUUCUUUUGGCACAUUUACCCUAUGGAAACAGUGCUUUUAAUGUACACAGACAUUUAUCUUUGAUACCAAGCUAUGGGGAGAACAGAAACCUGUCUCUCACUGUGCUUUGAGUAGGGAGGGACUCACACUCCUGUAUUCUCUAGUUGUGCCAGGCAUCAGCUGAUAUGCUCAUGAGAUCUGUGCUCCAUCCAGUGGUCCCCUCCAGCUUACCAGUAACAGUGGUAAGACUGAGAGGGAUCGGAGCCCAAGCUGUUGCCCUCCUAUAUAAAUGUGUUGUUUCUAGCCACAGCUGCUACCCCCAGAGCCCUGUCUCUCUGACCUCCUGGCACAAGAUACACUUGUUUUUCUUGGCUCCUUUCAACCACCCUGAAGAAGAAUACGAGUACAUGUGGGGUCUUUGAGGUUUCCCAAAGCUGUUUCAAGGACCAGAUACUAAGCAUGAUUGGCAAGUGAAUGCACAUCCAUGGAGCCUAGACCUGGUCUCAAGUGACAGCAUCUUCACAGAUAAGUCUAAGCACAAGCAAAUCUGUGACUCAUAACCCAGGCUAUGGGAUACUAAUUUUGGACCAAAGUGCUUCUCCCACUCUCUUCUAUAUCCUUCCGGCGUCCAUCUUUCACCCCAUUAGUUUUUCCACAGCCACAACAUGCAGUUGUGGAAGCUCGUGAUUCACAAGCUAUUUCUCUGGGUUUUCAUGAUUAAACUUUUAUUGCAGAUUCUGAGACAAUGGCUGUGAUUGGUCAAUUCCUGGUCUCAUGCCAGUCCUUGUCUCCAUCACUGUGACAGAGGGGCAGGGUGGUGAUUGGCUGUAUCAAGAUCAUAGCCUGUUCUGGGCAGGUUAACUCAGGAGGGAUGUGGGAAGAUGCUCUUGCCACAGCAGGCCAUUGUGGUUAUGAAGGAAGUACUUUAGGAGGCUGGGUUGGGCAUUCCAGUCUUUACUAGAAAAAAGAAAAGCUCUCAUCAAAGUGAGGCCAUGGCUCACUACUGAGUAACAAAUAGCCUGAGGGGUUUUUAAUAACAGUACUUUAUACACUCGAAGCCCACAGCUCUUCACCUAAGGAGAAAGGAAUCAUUCUACGUCCUGACCUCAGUCUGUUUUCAGAGAUGUGGUAUGGCAUUUCCUGAAAUAGACUUGCUCUUCAUUAAGCAACAUACAGAGCAGGGUGCAUUUGUGUCUUUCUCAAGCCUUAAGCUCCCUUGAUGACUGUUUUAGAAGCUCUGCUCUUCCUCAUUGCCCACUAGAGUAUGCUCUGAUAAGAACUCUAUGGACACUGGGAAGAUGAGUUCACUCGGAAGCUGCAGGAACAUGGACCCCAGCACUUAAACCGUCUGUAGGCCAGUGGCUGAUCUUUGAGAAUAGCAGUGAGCAGAGACCUGACUGGUAAAGGCAUUAGCGAGGGAGCUAGACUCAAGGAAAGUUGAGGUAUUCACUGAGCCAUAGCCUCCAGAGGGUGAGAUCUUGGGUCUUCGAGGCAGAAUAUCUCUUGGUCCAGAGUAGGACAAAGCUGCUUGCAGGCUUUUGAGAUUUCUUCGAAGAAGAAUAUGGCCACUAAAAGUAAAAGAAGCGCAUUUAGAUGUAUAAAUAUGGAGUCUGAGAAGACGAGGCAGGGCCUCUUGAGCAUUGUCUACAGGGACGAGAGAUGUGUUGUUCCACGAACACAAGUUGUCUGGGGUUAGUGAUUCCAUAGCCCUGAGAAGGAAUGCCAGGCUGUCUAGAAGCCUGGUGCUAAAAACCAUCACUGCGAUACAACUGCAUGUUACAGCUGGUUUGCUUUCUCUGGCGAUUGCUCUCAGCAUAGGGGACUAUAUCUGGAAUGUUUUACAGUCCAAUACAUUUGAGUUUUAUUUAUGUGAGUUUACCUACAGGAAGGGGAGGCCCUGAACAUGGAAAGAGAGUUCUCGUGAAUUCUGUCUUGGGAGAGAACAUGGAAGCCAGAAGCUUUUCCUGUAAAUAUUCUUCACAUUUUCCCACUUUUGUGUAUUAGAGGUUUGAUGAGAUCUUGGCAUGAGCUCGGCAGUAGAGGAAUCAGAGCCUUCGCAUCUCAGAGAUUAUGGUAUCCAAACCCUCUUCUGGUCAGCUGAGCCUGGUACAGUGGAGGGAAACAGAGCAGAAAUUGUCAGAGGUCAAAGGGAGUUGAGGAAAUACUAAACAAAUGUGGACAACGUUAACUUUAAUGAGUUUCUAGCAUCCCCACCCCUUGUCUCAUAAGAGCACUCUUCUUUUUUAUAUCUGGCCUCAUCUUAUAGCUACAAAUAACCAGAGCUUUUAAACAGAAGCAACUAAGUCAAAUUACAGUUGAGAGAAAAAGACCCUAGGUGAUUUGGGAGCUGUGACUGAAAUACGAAUUAUCUAACCUCCACACUCUGAUUCUGACACUUAGCACUUUUCUGAUGGAUGCUUCUAAUGCAUAGUAAGCACACACCUCAGUGCUCCCCAAGUCCAAACAUAUAUUCCUGUCAAAGCCUGGGGAGAUAAACAGUACCUGACUCCUCUGGUAAUCCUUUAGUCCUGCUGUAUGUCCUCCCUCCUGUCUCCUCCUCUCUUAUUUCUUUUCUCUGUGUCCAUUUAGGGCUGUGUCUAAACUUUAUACUCAUCAUAGUUCUCCUACCUUGGGCACCCAACUAGCAUCUAUCAGUCUUCAAGCCAAUGGUAGAACUGGGUGGGAUUGAAGAGUUGGGACUAGCACAGAUAGAACUAAAACUCCCCCAAAAGGAAAAGACUCCUCACUAGAAUUCACCCGGAACCAUCCAAAAGGCCAUGUGAUCGGUUAUGCAAAUCAAGACACAUGAGUCACCCAUCUCUCUGCCGUAACAAUGUUAAAAUAGCCCCAGGUCCACCAAAAUGAAAAAUAAAAUCAACAGAGGGAAAAUAACCCAUUUGAAGUCAUUUCCUUGCGCCAUCUUGUGGUUGGCGUUAGCUAAGUCACUUACUCAAGAACAUGAUGGGCUGGACAGCUGUACCCACCAAGGCAGCUUCUCAUGUAACCAUCACAGCGACCUCUGCUUGUGUUGUAUCUGCUAACAUCCUUGUUAGGUUCUUGACCCAGGAAAACUCAUAUGAGACGCUGCAUUGAAGAGACAGGGGCAUCCCUGUGACUAUGAUGUCCUCAACGCUGGCAGGCUUUCUUCUCUGUUCCUUUCUCUUCCUGUUAGACACAGGUCCUGCCUCAGUCACUGAUUCGCUAAUUCCCUCUUCUGUGCAUCAGGAUAUCCUAACAUUAGGGGCUUGGUUGAGCUCCUUCUGACUUCGUCAGUCUAGGUUUUUGUACUGAACUGCUAUGUGCUGAUGGUCCCACUCAGCUCCUUAUGUUUAUGUACCAUGGCUAUUGAAAAUGGGCUUAGCUCAACCUAGCUUUUCUAUAAAUAUUGGAUUCUUUCAGUGACAUUGAUAGCUUGUGAAUGAGUGGAGGUUGUGGUCGGGAGGGUUGGAUAGGGGUGUGUGUGUGUGUGUGUGUGUGUGUGUGUGUGUGUGUGUGUGUACGAGCUAGAGAAUAAAUCCAAGGCUUCACUCAUACUUCACAUGUCUUUUACUACUCAGCUACAAGCUACGUAUAACACCAAUGGUUUUUUGUAGCUAGCACUGGGUCAGACAUGGAGAUAGAAUGGAUAUGUUAUUCAUCUCGUUUCCAUGUCCUGCAUAACAAAUGAAAUGUUAGCAAAUGACAUGAAAGCACAACUAAGAUUAAAUUCUGUAAACAUGUCAUACAUAUAUAAAGCUAAGAAAUGAAUGAACAUUAUGACAAGCUACUUGACAGACUUUAAUGUCUUGAGAGGGUUAUUUGAGGUGGACACGAUGAUAUUUGAACCAAGACUUACGUUCUGGAUAGGAUGGCAGGGCCACUGCAAGGGAGGGAAAUUGGAUCAGGUUUAGUUUGCAAUAAGUUAGCCAUUAACCAAAUGUGAUUCCCAGUUGAUUCAAACACAGGUCACGAGCAGGACAAAACCCAGAACUUCUGCCUAAUCACAGAAAGUUCUCUGGAUUCUCUACACAGCAGGGGCACUCUAGGCAGUAGGGCCUGCCAGAUUCUCAUGCAAAUACUAUUCAUUACACUCAUAAAACAUUUAUUUCUAACAGCUUUUAUGCAAAUUAGAAAACCUCUGGUGUAAAUUUACACAGAGAAACCUUAAGUGCUAAGUAGCCACCUCUGAAGGUGCUGGUUUUCCCAUCAGAGAAGUUCAGGCCCAAUUUCUUCAUCUACCCAGCACUGCUUUCUGCUUAGCAAUUCACUUCCCUCUAGGUGUGAGUAGUUAAAUUAUAGGAGCAAUCUUUAUAAUAUGUUAUUUUUCCAUUUAUUUAUUUAUUCACUUUAUAUCCAGUUUGCAGCUCCCCUCUCUCCUCCCAGUACCACUCUUAUCCCCAAUUCCCCAUCUCCCCAUUCUGCCCCCUCCCCUGCCACUCUUUCAUGUCUGAAAAGGAGCAGAUUGUCCUGGGUCCCAACCUACCCUAGCACCUCAAGUUACUGCAAAUCCUCCGAGACUAAACAAGACAGCCCAGUUAGAAGAACAGGGUGCACAAGCAGGCACCAGAGUCAGGGUAAGCCCCCACUCCAGUUGUUGGGGGCCUGCAGGAAGAACAAGCUUCACUUCUGCUACAUAGGUGCAGAUGAGGGAGUGGCUAGGUUCAGGGGUCUUUGGUUGGUGGCUCAGUCUCUGGGAACCCCGAAGGGUCCAGGCUAGUUGAUUCUGUUGGUCUUCUUGUGGAGUUCCUAUUCCCUCCUGGUUCCUCAAUCUUUCCCUUAACUCUUCCACAAGACUUCCCAAGCUCUGUCUACUGUUUGGCUGUGGGUCUGUGUAUCUAUGUUCACCAGCUGCUAGGCAGAGCCUCUCAGAGGACAGUUAUGCUAGAUUCCUAUGUACAAGCACAGCAGAAUUUCAUUACUAGUGUCAGGGAUUAGUUCUUGCACAUAGGAUGUGUCUGAAAUUGAGCCAGUCAUGGGCUGGCCAUUUCUUCAUUCUCUGUCCCAUCUUUGUUCCUGCACUUUUUGAAGGCAGAACAAAUCUUGAGUCAAAGGUUGUGUAGAUGGGUUGGUGUCCUUAUCCCUCCACUUGGAGUCCUGCCUAGCUGCAGAAGGUGGCUGUUUCAGGUUCCACAGGGAACACUGCUAGAAGUCUCAGCAAGAGUCACUCUCAUAGACUGCUUAGAGCGCCCCCCAUCCCAGGUCUCUGGUACAUCCUAGAGAUGCCAUCAUAGAAUAUUAUUUUAAUGUAAAGUGAAAUAUAGAAGUGUAACAUGGGCCCAGAGAACUGUCAAGCCCUUCCCUUCCCUAGAGUUACAACAAGGUCUGUUCUCUCAUCUAAAUUAAGAAUGUUGUCUUUAAUCCUUUUACCAGGAUAACUCUCAUGAAGCCUCUGCAGUCUCAGCCUGAAUCAUUCCUUCUCAUUAGGACUGUUUUUGGCUUGACCACUUAAGUAAAUGGGGCUUCAACUGUUCUUUGCUCCAUUUGGCCUGCCCUUUUCCUCAUUGUAUUUGUCAGUGUUUGCUAUUUUCUUGUUUAACUGGUUGUUUUUAACCUUCCAUGCCCCUUCCACAUUUGUUAAGGGAAUAGAACCAUGUUUGUGCUUAGAUUCCCAGCAUCAUCGGGGCAUCAGCUGUCCUAAGGGUAAAGGGGAGAAUAAACAAGAGCAGUUUUGCUCUGUUGCACUGUGGGACAGGUUGUCAAGGAAAGGGGAUUACUGAGCUCCUGAAACUCUUGAUGAAUGAAAGCAAAGCAGGAACCUGGCAGGAUCUCACUAUUUGUUGGUAGCAAGUUACUAGAACCCAGGUUUGUUUCUUCAUAGCUUCUCUGUGCAGCAUAUUUUUCUACUGAGAAUCAUGGUGUCUGGGAGCAAACUGGAUCUGUCUAACACUCAAUUCACAGGUUUUGUCAUUUACAGGUUCUGGACAGAUAUCUUAUAAGUGUACCAGUCAGUGCAGAGCAAUGGAUGGAGAAAACAGAACUCAGAGCUUCUGCCCAAAUGGGCUCAAUUCAAUCAUGGAUAAACAGUGUGCCAGUGUGUCAUCUCCCACAUUACCUUAGGCAGCUUUAUGCUUUUCUCCAGUCCCACUCAAAAAGCUCUACUUGAAACUGUCAGCUUCCAGAAAGGAUUCUUGGAUCCUCUGUAGGCUUAUCAGAGACCUGUGGCUUCUUGGUACAAGUUUGCCUUCUAGCCUGGGCCUCCUUGAGACUUGUCUAGACAGAUAUGGAAGAAGAGGCUGAAAGGAUUUGAAGUUGAAUGUUAGUUGCUGUUGAUAUUUAGAUCUCAAUGAAGUACUAUUAUUUGGCUUGCAAAGCAAGUUAAAGAAGUGGUAAGGCAAACUGUAGCUGCAGUAUUGAGAAACAGAGAGGGCUCUAGUCUUUGCUCCUGCUGACAAUAUAUCACGAUCUCUUGUUACCCAAGACUUCUCAGAAGAUGCCUGAAUCAUCAUGACCUUUGCAAAUGUUCCUGCCUCCACCUAUCUAGGCUCCAGUUCAACUUAAAGAGUGUGGCAUUUUCUCAGUGAGGUGACACUUACAUGAACAGAGGCCACAAGAAAUGCAGUUGGAGAUGCCAGUGUAGAAAUGCUACGCUCCCAUUUUUUGAGGAUCAGAGAUCAUAAAAAGGUAGCAACAUGGCUUAGGUUUCCCAACUCACUGGCAGAAGCAACUCGUGGAUCUUUUAUGAUGGGGACAGUAGGACUAGCUAUGAUCACAGCCUGAUAUAUGCAUCACUGUUCUUGUCAUCCUUAGUCAAAACCAUUAUCAUCAUCCAGAAGCAACAGCAGCAGCAGCAAAAGCAACAUCAGUAACAACAGCAACACCAUUAUCACCACCAUCAUCAUUACAGUCAACAUCAGCAUCUCCAUUAUCAUUACCAUCAGUGUUAUUAUCAUAGUCUGAAUCUCCAUGACUGUUAUCACCAUCACCAUCAUUACCAUCACUACCAUUUUAUCAUCAUCAUAACCACCAUCAGCAACAAAACAUCCCAACUCUUGUCACAUUCCAUUACAAUUAUUAUCGAUCCCACACCCUCAGCAUUGCCUCCACUCUGUUACCAUCACCGUCUUUGUUACUGUUGGUACAAGCUAUUUAGUGGGCUCUUAUGUGCCAUGUUCUGUACUAAUGAGCUCAUUUUCCCACUGCAUGCCAUACCUCUUGCAUUUCAGAGUCACUGAAUGGCAGGAUAAAUGUAUAACACAUCUCUCAUCUGGAAAGUGUCAAGAGAGGAUCCACUCCCAAUGGUCUCUUACUUCAAUGGACCAUCACGCUAUGUAGGACUUUUUCCUUGCCAGGUUUAUCACAAUUAUAAUCACAUAAGUAUUCCUGUUGUUACUAAACCAGAUUGGUUUUUGUAGUGAGUGGGGCUACCUUAUUUAAAUCAUGGUCCCAUAGAACCCUGGACUGCCUGCCAGAGUACCUGUCUGCAUGGGUCAAUAUUGAGCGACAAAAGUCUCAUGUAAACACAGUGAAUUUGUGUGACUUCACAGUAUAUCUUUCCCUGGUCAGCGACAAUCUUCAGACUGUGGAAAGAAAUAGCUUGGCUGAAAUUCUCAUUUCAUUUCCUGUCUUCUUGUUGAGAAGAUUGAACACAGAUAUGCCUUUUAUUGCUGGAUAGAAAAGAAAAUGUGAGACCAUGGCCAGAACACUGUGGAGGCUGAGAUAUCUACAAGCAAAGGCAUCCAGGACACCAGGUGGCACCUAUUCUGGGAUGUCGCCUCUAGUUUUAAGACUAUCAAUUUUAAGAAUAUCUAGUUUUAAGAGUUAUUUACUUUUUAGGAACUUCCUGUAUAAGUCACGCUUUGAUCCUAACUGCCUUGCCAAUUCAGGGUGCCUUGAUCUAAACAUGGCCUUGAUGAGGCCAACUAGAACUUUGGGCUAUUUCCUAUGGCAGUUUAACUUCAUUGCCAUCUUGGCUUGAUUUGAAAACAUGUAGGAGACUGCACUGGGUGUAUCUAUGAGAGCAUAUCCAUAGAGGUUUAGGAGGAAUCACCCUGAAUAUGGCCAACAACAUCCCAUUGGAGGGGGGGGUUCAGGGUAAAUGGAAAUUCUAGCAAGAACUACCAUUCACCUUUCUCUGGGGCUUGAACAUGUCCAGCCACUUCACACUCCCAUUACUAUGUCUUCCUACAAUCUCAAACCAUGAGCCCAAAUAAACCCUUCCUUUCCUAACUUGCUUUUGUGACAGCAAUGAGAAAAGUAAUAGAGAGCCUCUUCCAACUUUUCCACCUGUGCCAGCUAUGGGUCUACUAGUACAGUCUGUUGAUAGACAGAAAGCUUUUCUGGGUGCAUCCCCCCAGCUUGGUGCUAAGGAUAUGGAUUGUGCAAAUUGCAAUGUGAAGUUCUAAACACACAUAUAAGGCAUUUAGUGUGAUGUUGUUUCCAGAAUAUGGAGUACUGAGCACUCUUUUAAAAAGUCUGGUGCAUAAAAAGAAUAAGUAAAUGAAAUGGGGAUUAGAUCACUGAUUAACUGAGAUGAAGAGAGCCAUCACCUCUAUUGAACAUAAUCACACAUUGUCAGGGUGAGAAGGGUAUCUGAAAUUGAAAGCAGAGCAGUCUAAGGCAUGAUCGUGUUGCCAUAUCAGCAGGCUUGGAUGGACACCCAGUGUGCACUGCUGUAGGCUGAGCAAGCUCAUACAGAGGGGUCAGCUUGAAGAUAAAGUCUGCAGUGCUCUCUAACCUUGCAUAAGUAUCUGUGAUGCCUGUUGACUGGAACAGUACCUGUUCAUGGCUGCAUACCUGUAAUCCAGCACACAAGGAUGAAACCUGAUCUUGGAUGGACAACUGUGCACUCUUACGACAUUGAUUUAUUCACUUGUUUAUUUUUAAUCAUUUAUUCAUUCAUCACAUUUCCACAAUAGGAAUGAAGAAAGCUUCUAGACAAAAUGGCCACAUGAGACAUACACAAGAUUGUGACCCACAGUGGAAAGCCUGUGGGUGUAACAAACAUGGGAAGUUGGAAGCUCAGGACAGGACUCACAUGAGGAGAGGAGACCUUGGAGCUAAAGUACCUGAGAUGGAUCUUGGGAUCAUUUGAGAUCUCACAAAUGUAGAGUAUUGUUAUAAAUUCAAUGCCAUCCUUUGCAACAUUCUGAGUUUCAGGCCAGCUUGGGCUACAGAAUUAGAUCAUUUCCAAAAUAGUUGAAAAGAGUCCAAAGUGACAUAAUUUUGUAAUGGAGUUGGAUAUGAUGAAGAGAUAAGGUCCUAGCUGAUGAGAAAAAUUAGAUACAAUCCAUGCUCAAGUCAUUUAGUCAUGUUCAGAUUAUUUAUGUCUGUACAUUAAGAGCUAUUUUACUACUUUCAUUGUAAAAUGAUCAUGAAGAAGGCAAAAAGCUUUUCUGAUUUUGGAAUUUGUGGUCUGGCAGAAACAAACACAAACACCCAUGAGGCACUUGGGAAUAAUAAAAUAAGACUGAACAUAAAAGGAAGAGAAUAGCGAAAAGCCAGGUUUGCAAGGGACUGUCAAACUUGAGUUUCCUUACAGAAAGCAACUGCUAUUCCUAACUUAUACCAGUUGGGAGGGGCAUUGUAUAAUCAGACCUUGUUUGUCACAAGACAAGGACUUGAUGUGUACUUCCUUAAGUUUUAAAAUGCCUUGUUGAUCAAAUACAUCAAGCGCUGGUUCUGCCUGAGGGCUGCCCACUGGCCAGUGUUGUUCUGUUCACCCAUCUCCUUUCUGGUACAAGACUGAAAAAGGAGAAAAUCUGGGAAAUUCAUUAGUGCUUUCUGUAAUGACAACAGGGACAGUGGUCCUUCAAAAAUGUGUCAAGAGAUGGGGAUGAGGUCAGGAUUUAUCAUGAAUGAUAAGUGGAAUUAUAUCAAUGUUUGAAACUAAUUAAAUUGUGAACUAAAGGGAUAUGAAAGCAUGAGAUCUAGGGUCCAUAACAUGAACAGAGUGGGUUGAAAAGAUGUCUUGUCCAUUUGAAUUUAUGGAUGACUAGUAUAUUACUUUCUUUUCCUAUUGCUGCAAUAAAAUUCUUUGACAGAAACAACUUUAUGGAGAAAGGGUUUAUUUGACAUACAAUUCUGUUAUUGUCUGCCAUGAGGGAGAGCCAAGAAAUCAGGAACUUGCUGCAGCUAGUCAUAUUGUAUACACAAUCGUGAUCAGAAGAUAAUGAAUUAAUGUGUGCAUGCUUAUGCCCACUUUUCCUAUUUUUAUACAGUUAAAUAUCUUUUGCCUAGGGAUUAGUGCCACACAUAAUAGGCAGGUCCUUUCAACUCAAUUGAUGUAGUCAAGUAAUCCUCCACAGAUAUGCCACAGGCCACUGCCAUCUAUAAAAUCUCUCACUGAGAAUCAGGUGAUUCUGUAAUGUGCAAAAAUUGACCAUUAAACCAGCUAUCAGAGUGAGUAAUGAUAGAUGAAAGACUGAAUUGGGGAAGAAGUGAUGACGAAUCAACACUGGAAAGAAACAGAACAUUACUGAUGGGGUUGACUAGUUGAGUUUGGCUUCAAUAGAAUGAAUGGGAUUGAUAUAGAAAGAGCAGGAAUGAAAAGAAAAGGAGGUUAUGUGAAAGUGUCAGAGUUUCUCUACAUACAAACUCAUCACACAUUAGGAACCAUGACCUAUGAUAGCCAUUUUGACUAAGAAAAACCUCAUACUUGCCUCAGGCCAUUGCACAAGUAUUCCCUGAAGUGAUCAGAGAUUAGAAAACUCCAACUCUCCCUUUCCCAUAGGUUUGUAAGGUUAGAGAUCGAGACCAAAUGGCUGACACAGAACCUCAAGCUCCCCAACCUUUAUGGUUAAUCAUUCACAACAAAGAAACCUGCAUUAUGCCCACAAUGGAAUGGGCCACUGUACACAAUUAAAUUUAUAGCUCUGUACAUUUAUUUAUGAAUUUAUUUGUGUUCAUUCAUUCAUUAAUUUGUCAGAUUUCCAUGCUAGGAAUGAGGACAAAGCAUUCAGACAAAAGGACCCCAAGAAACAUACAUACAAGACUGUGAACCGGGGUUGGGGAUUUAGCUCAGUGGUAGAGCGCUUAAAACCCUGGGUUCGGUCCCCAGCUCCGGAAAAAAAGAAAAGAAAAAAAAAAAAGACUGUGAACCAAAAUAGAAAGCCUCGGGAUGCAGUGAUGAACCCCUUGGUCCAACACUGAAGAAGAAGAGAAAGUGCAGGAGAAGAAGACACAGGAGGUCUAGGAGAAGGAAGGGAGGAUGAGAAGAAGAUCUUAGCGUUGAAGCACUUGAGAUAAAGAGAAUUUGGUUCGGUUCAAGAAGAGCUAUAGCAUUUCUUACUUUGUAGUUGAAACAGACCAACUGUGCUGCCUUCCAGGGGUGCCCCCUCCUUUGAAUUGUACCAGUAAUUUUUGUCUAAGGUUGCUUAGACAUAAAUACCAAGCUCUGGCAAAGAAGACUUUCCCCUCUGUGUUUGAUGCUUUGAUUGGCAGAGCUUUCUCUUUCCUCAUUGUAUUCCUCUUAGACAGAGCUAUGUAGUGAAAUUCUUGGUUGGUAGGAAUGCUCCAUUUCUAAACUAUCCAAUAAGGCUAUCAUCAGCUACUCAUGAUGAUUGAGCCAUGAAAUGUAGUGUAAUUAAUUUAAAAUCAGAUAAUGAAAUAUGGCUUGUGGCUGCUUUAUUGGAGGACAGCAUCUGAUUUAGGUCCUGGCACAUUGCAUGUAGCUCCUCAAUGAAGGAAACUUUUUUUUUCAAUGCUCAAAAUUGAUUCUAAGAGUUGGUUUGGUUGCUAUUGGCGUGUGUGAUGCGUGUGUGUAUAAUUACAUGUGCAUUGACGAAUACAGUGGGGAAAGCUGGAUGCAGAUGCUGACAUCAUCUGUCCUGCUCUCCCACUCUCUACCUAAUUCUCUUGAUCUGUGGUCUCUCACUGAAGAUGGAUCUACACUGGCAGCCAACAAACCCAGUGAUCCUCCUGUCUUUGCCCACUUCCUAUAUAGCUUGCCUUGUAUUGGCAUUGAGGUAACAGUUAUGUGUGAAGCCAUGCCUAGAUUUUUAAUAACUUUUUUAUGUGGUGACUGGUUAUUUGAACUCAGGUCUCCAUCCUUAAGUGGGAAACACUUUUACUCACUCAGUCACACACCCCUUUCCCUAUUCCAUUGUUUAUAAGAGAGAAAAGAAA